AUUGAUAAUGUUUCAACUCAGAUGAAGUGGUCUGUAUGAUAAGCUUUUGUAGAUCCUGGGGAUCGUUAUACCUUCUGUACAAUUCUCUGUUCUGGAUUCAAAUAGUUUGGGAGUGUUGCAUGCCUUUGUAUUGUGUUCAUAAACCUUGCUAAGUUUCUCCAUGUCCAGUCUUUUCUUCUAAGAAAAAACUCUUUUGUUGCAUCCACAUUAACCAUAUGUAUUUCCAUUUUCAUUUUUGAAUUGUAAACUGUAGCUGCUUAAAACUUUGGUAUAAAAUAAAGCCCUUAUUGGUAAAUGAGACACGUUAUUAGCAAUGUUUCACAUUUUCUUACUUGCAAUACCAUGCUUGCCUGUUCAGGUCUUCCAAGACCUAAAUCAUGAAAUCCAGCACAUACAACACCUUUUUUUAAACUUCGGUUACCCUGACACAAGCCUCCGUUCAAUUUUCUUAUACGGAGGGGUUAGAAAUAGUUACCUUACGUGCUUGCUUUCAAAACUACAUCUACUGAUAAAUGUUUUUUUUUCAAACCACACUGGGUAUCAUGGAUGGAUGAGGUUGUGGCAGUAGUUCGUGGGUGCAGUAUCUAUCUUGAUAAAGCGAUCGAUCAUGGCGCAUUGGAGGCAGAACAAGAGAAAAGCUUUGGGCGUCUGUGGUGUUGAACAUUCAGUGUUUAUGUGCUUUGUACAUGCACGACCAGUUCAGUAACUAGAUGGUCUUUUCUACUUUACUGGUGCUGCUACUUUUUCACAUGCUAGCUUAUUUGAAAAGCGCCAACAAUGUGUGCCACAUGUAAACAGUCCAUGUUGAAAGAAUAGAAGCAGAAGUGUGGAGAUGAUGUAAUUGGUCAGUCAGGAAAUUCAGUCUCAAUGAGCUCAACUAACGACAUGUGUGAGUUGAGCCUGAGGUCAUUUUCAAAGUAACAGAAGUAUUUUACUUUCCUUUUCAUGUCAGUGGUUGAUGCUACUUACAUGUUGUAUCAGGUUAUCAAAGGGCAGCAAUCAUAUACAUUUUAUAAACAAAUAAAACACUUUUAUGAAGCAUGUAGUAGACAAAUAGUGCUACUGAUAAAUGAUUUUUUUUCAAAGCACAAAUGGUGUUUAGUGGGUCUCUGUGUCAGUUUGCGAAAUGGGAGAUUACAAAAAAAUACACAUAUUUUCAACAUGGCAUGGUCUUUAAUGAGAUUCUAUACUCUACCAAAUUAAAAUCUAUAGGUACAUGUCAUUGUAGACAACAAACCUCCAUUAUUUCUUUAUUAAAGAGGAUUGAUUUUAUUCGCAAAAAGGAGGGUUAAAUUUUGUUAGGAUUAAUUAAUGAUUGUUAAUUAUGGGAUAAUCCCUGCUUUCACUAACCGCAGGCAGUUGCAUCUGCCGCGUCGGUUCCCUGCCGAAUAGGCACCCUCCCUGAACAGACGCCUUCCUAUUGGUGUCUCUUCCCUUUGUAUAAAUAGCAGAUCUCAUCUAAUAUAGCACGCUCGCCGUUGAGCGAGUCGAUCGAUUCCGGCGAUCGCCGGAACAAGAAGAUCCACAAGCCAGAGGUGAGAAAGAAAAUGCCACGGUGCAGGAACGCAUCGCGGCUUCCGCGUUCUUCGUUGCCACCAUCGGAACGGCGCGGGGCCGUCGAACCAACCAUGCCGCAACCUGCGCCAGCGCCGCCACAGCCCGAUGUGCCGGCCUGGCCUCCCGCCGGUCCGGCUGCACCAAGGCUCGAGGCCGAUGAGAACAUCGACCCGGCGCUGGCGGCUCCGCGCCGCCUCCGUUCUGGUGCUCGGCGCAUGGCUGGGUAGUAUGCCCCUGUAUCACCACGACUUUGUGGUGGCCGAUCCGGUCGUCGCGGCGCCUCAGGAGGAGGGAACCGUCGUCAUCGACGAUGAAGAAGUUGGGGACGCGCCGCUGCAGCAUCCGACCCCGGCGGUUGUAGAGGCCGAUGGCGGCGCGCCGCUCCCGAUGCUGCUGACGAUGGCGCACAUCCCGGCCACACAUCAAGUGCAAGUUCAUGACGGUGACACGCUCGCCUUCGUGUCCGCGCUGACCGGAGCCUCCGCCUUCUGCCUUCGGCUCUGGCGUGAGAGGUUCCACUAGCACCAUGGUCGUCGCCGACGUCGCACCACCGGACUUGCCAUCCCCGACGUCCGCAACUCCUCCGCCUUCGCCGCGCAUAGACGCUCGCCGACGUCUUCUGGCCCUCGGCGUGCCCCUGACGAGCCCGCCUUCGAGCAACCGCUCCGGCCGCGCUGGCACAUGGAGUCCAGCGGCGCUCGGGCUCGCGAAUGACCUUGCGCCGAGCACCCUGCUCCCUGGAGUUUCCUCGGACGAGGACGAGGGCAGCGGGAGCACCUCUCGCCACCGGUGAACGCCGCUGUGGUGGCCGUCAGCCGUGUCCUCUCUAUCUGUUCCUGUCUCGGGCGGGGAUGGGGUCAAUCGAUUGGGGAAUUUUCCCCUCGGUCGUUCUCCUUAUCUCUUCACCAGGCUGGGAGCAAUAUGUGGCAUGUCCGCGUGUGUGUGUGGCAGGGAGCGAGGGAAUCAAACCUCUAGCAGCUACACGUGCAUGCGAUGGAAAUAAGGCACCAGCAGCCAGUGUGGUUAUUUAAUUGUUGGCUGUCAAUGGCGAUGGAUGCGGUGCGCGGCUCCCUCCCGUGCGAUUCAUCGGCCUUAGGGCUUGAUGCGGCCCUGGCCUUUGGCCCCGACGACAACAACAUCUUCGCUCUCUAAUGAUACGGCCGGUCGGCCAGCCGUGGGAGUCUCUGCCUGUUUCAGUCUUGUGAGGAUUGGGGAUCGACUCGCUGGGGAUUUCUUUCCCUUUCUCUCUCCUUAUCUUUUCGAUCGACUGGACUUUCUCGCUUGCGUGGCCAUGUGCAUGCGGUGGAAAUUUAGGCAACCGGCAGGCGUUGCUUUAUUUGCUACUCCAUGAGUACUUGCUUCUCUGAUUGAGCACAGUAGCAGAUUAUUAGUGUUCCAACACACUCCUACCAGUGAUUUCAUUCCUGUUAAAAUCAGUACAUAUAUUUUUGUACUGUUUUCUGUUGAGUACCAAGGUAUUUCAGAUCUUAAGUUGAUGUAAUAUAUUUCCACGUUUAUCACGUGUUGAGAUUAAUUAUGUUCAUUCGCAAUUGAGAUUUUUCAUCUCUUGCAAAGAUAAUUUCAGUACCUCUACGCUACUGGUUUGCGAUUGAGAAUUUUUUUUUCUCGCAAAACAAUCUUAUUGCGAUUGAGAUUAAUUUUCUCUUGCAAAAUAUUAAUUCACUUUGCUGAAUUAUCUUGCAACUUGAUACAAGAUCAUCUCAUUUAAUUUGAGGUCUAUACAAUUCAAGUUUUUCACUUGAACAUCAAGUUUGCAACAUCAUUACUAUUCAUUACAAUAGUAGUGUAUUUCUGUUGAGUAUGAUGUAUUCCGGAAUGUAUAUAUCUCCAUGUUAGCUACAUGUCGAGAUUAAUACAUCUAUUUGCAAUUGAGAUUUUUAAUUUCUUGCAAAUAAGAAUGCAAAAUUCAAGGUGAUUUCUUCAAAUUAAUGUAUUGAGAUCACAAGGUAGUCAUAUAGAUCUACUGCCGUUUGCAGAUUAUCAAUGACUACUGUUAAAGCCUAUAUUUUGUCAUUUUGACAUUAUAAUUGCUUUACAAAGUGCUCUCCCACACAUUUUGCUAAGUCAUGACAUAAGGCAUUACGAGUGAGUAUCUACUGAUUUCAUGAGAUUAUACUCUCUAGUGCUGCGAGAUCUACUCCAUUUUGAAGAUUAUCUUCAAGGUGUCAUAUUUAGCAAUUUGAAAUUCACACUAAUGGUUUCAAGAUAACUUCUUGAAAUACCCACUGAUUUUGCUAAGUUCAUUACAACAUCAACCAUGAUGGUCUUUAAUUUACUGGUUGUAAAUUAAUUAUCUCUGGUUUACCCAUAGAGGUAACAUAUGGCUAUAGAGUUUGAGGCAUUCGCCCUCAAUGGCCACCACUGCCCUAUCUGGACCAUGGACAUCAUGAUCGCUCUUGUGUCUCAUGAGAUAAUGUGUGCAAUCCUGAUUUCACCUCUGGUCAGGAUCACACCGCUAACAGAAAAUGAUGUCUUAUAAAUCAUAAGGCAUUAGAUUCAGAUAUCAGCAUCUGGUUAUUCUGUAUCAGCAAUUCCUGUGAUACAAUGAACCUCAAGGGAGAAGGUUUGAAUCUUACUUCAACCUUCAAUCCAACAUCACCGGCUGUGACGGGACCCUAUUAGCAUGGAGAAUGUGAUGGUUGAAUAUGCCUCAACCGACAUGUUUGGAGACUAUGAAUAGUCUUUCAAUCUCCUGAGUGGUCAGUAUAAUUAAUGUCCAUUUACGAUGUUGUAACAACAACACAAGUAUUGUUGUCAUCGUCAUAUAUUGUAUAUCACAAUAUAUUGUAUCAGCACUUUGGUACAAAUACAUUUGUAUGUCUAUAUAUCUGACAGUGAUUUUCAUAUUGAGAAUCUUCAUGUCUAUAUAUAGAUUUCUACGGGAGUCAAUCCAAUGAAAAAUGAUAUGUGCCUUGUGGACAUAUGCACCACAAACUCUAUACUCAGGGAAGUCCAAUGUUUCCACUCUCAUUGAGAUAAAUGAGAUAUUUUAAAAUCGCUAGACGCGAUGAGGUAUUUGUUGGCUCAACUCGAGUCAUAUUUACUAUCCCUGUGGGUACUCGAGUAAUGCAGGGAUGCUUCAUUGCUUCCCAAGUUUAACUCGUACCCUACUAAGCUAUAGAGAUAUUCGUCAAAAUGGUUUCCAUAGUGAAACUUAUGAUGACAAGAAAGGGAAAUACAUUCUCUUUACCAUAUGCAACGGAUAUGGCAAGCACAUUCUCUAUGUAUCAUCUGGAUUGUAUUACACAUACUACAAAACCCGUAGCACAUGUUGCGCCCAAGAUAGUUUUCCAAAAUGUCUUGUACAUGAAAACUUGGCAUACUCGCCUUGGUCAUCGAGACAUUGGGUUGAAACCGAAACUAUCAGCAAUUCCAAUAGUUUAUGAUUAUUAUGAUGCUAAAUUCUAACAACAUUUGAAUUUUAUAUGCACUACAAGUGACACAGGGAAGCUAAUUUUAAGGCUCGCACACCUUAAAGUCUACGCUGAACCACUCAGACUCCUUGAAUGCAUCAAGUUGAGGUAAGUGGCUCUUCCCAUCCAUUGACUAGACUAUUCAGGUAUUCCAUGGUUCUAAAAGACAUAUCUACAUGAUGGUCUUAAGUGUGUGCUUUAUUCACACGAAACCAUUGGCUCAUUAUCCUGACAUCGAUUUCAAGCAAAUCAAAAUGGAUAACAUUGCAUAAUUCUCCUUGAGUGCCUUCUCUAUGGCCCUUGGAUUGAAGUUUAGCAAUUUGUCCUAAUGUCUAGACUCAAAAUGGUUUGGUAGAAUCAUAUCCAAAGAGUUAAAGCUCAUUUCAUUAUCUUUACUUUGAAGUUGCAUACCGAUAUCACCACCCGGCAUACAUCAUUGGCCCCUCAACAUAUAGUUGGGAUCUAUGUGAGGAAUAACUGUAUUUCCGUCAAUACCUCAAGCCCCUCGCAUGGGGAGCUAUUCAAGGCCAGUAUGCUAAUUCAAUGAGGAACAUUUCCAGGCAUUAGGGGGAGAUUUCAAUUACCAUAAAGAAUGCCAGGAAAUUAGUGGAAUGUUCAACACAUUUCUGCCUCAAAUCCAUGUACUCAAAGAUCUGAACCAUGCGUUCAGAAGAUUUGCAACACAUUGCAAAUAACCUGCCAGAUUCAUUUACUGACUAUAAAGGUGUCAUACAAUCCUACAAUCCUGAAAAAUAUGCCGGAAAGAGUGGAGGUACCAACUAAAACCACUCAACUCCCCAUUCAAAGCAACAGGGGGAGAAGUACAGCAAUAGUACAUUAGGAUUCAGCUUCUCGCGAGCAAGGAUGUCAAGGCCUGUGAAUCAGUAAAUGCAAGUCAACUUCAAGUUGACAGACACCUGAUGGGUAGUAUACACCCAGUGGACGAGAAACCUCCACCAACCCAGGUCAUAGUGCACAAAAUGACUGGGACAUCGGAAUACCCGACUCAACCGCAUUGGGAAAUCAUGAGAAGUCACUAUGGGUAACGAUAUUUCCAUCAACUAUAUAUUGAUAUAUAGAUUCUGGAGAAACAUAUAACCGGAAGUCUACAAUUGUCGACAUACAUUUCUCAACUAGAUUGCAAAACCUUACAAAUGAUUCAGAUCCAAAGACCAUAGCCAUGGCAAAGUGUGAUCAACACUCGGACUGAACUCAAGCAAAGGGUAUAAUCUAGGUAGAAAUGAUCUUGCUCAAUAAUGGGAAGGUAUUCAUAAGCAAUACCUACACCAGUUUUCUUCUGGAAACAGAAUUGAAAACAACCAGGUGGUGAAACAAAGAGCAAGUAUUGUAGCGCAAGGGUUCACGCAGACACCCAACUAUUCUCCGGAGGUGGAAUCUCAUUCUGAUAACUUAUAUCAUUGGCGAUUCAAAAUCAUCUAUCUCUGCAGUUGAUAGAUGUAGUGAUUACAUAUCCAUGUGGAUCACUAGAUUCAGACAUAUAUGAUUGAUUUCCGAUGGAAUCUCAAUUCUGAAUCGAAAUACAAAAUGCAACAUACAUUGUGUAAAUUCGGUAAGCCACCAUACGACUUAUUGUUGUCGGUAAAUAUGGUACAACCGACGUAGUGAGAUCCUUAUACUCAAGGAUUACUCCUACCAUGAUGAUUAUCCAUGUGUUAUGUGUCUGCAAUGACGACAUAUGUAAUCAUCUAAGUGCCGGACUUUAAAAUGAAGGAUUUGGGUAAACCAAAAUAACGCUCGUUAUUACUACAACUUGAGCAUCUUCAUUCAUACAUUAUGGUAUACUAUGUUGUCUAUAUCCAUAAUAUAUUGGAGAAAUUCAUUGUGGACAAAUCUUAUCCAUCCAUAACUCUCAUGGUAGUUCAUUCUCUAGACAUAGAGAAAGGUCUAUUUAGACCAAGAGAUGAUGGAAAUGAGAUAUUGGGACUCAAUGUUCCAUAAUGCCAUUGGAUCCACCAAACACAAUUGGUUGGUACUCAAGAAUAUCUUUGAUAUCUCCAAAGGCAUCAAACAUCUUGUCCUGGUUUUUCAGUUUCACAGAAAUGUGAACACCGAUAUCAUUGGAUACAUCGAUCAGAUCCCCACUAUGUCAGAUCAUAGACAAGCUUAGUGUUCCUACUAGGUGUGGUAGCCCCCUCAUGAAGAGUCUUCGAAACAUACCUCAUGGCAACAUCCACCAACCAUUAUCUCAAUGAUAAUGUUGCUUGUGUUGCCCGGAUGCAAACAUGUUACUAAUAAGCAAUAUCUUUAUAUUGCAUAUCUUGCAAGUCAAAUCAUGCAACUAAUUUGUUCACCAAGUCUCUACCAACUUUUACAUUCCAGAAACAUGUUCAUGGAAUUGGUAGGUGACGGCUUUGGAAUUUGCAAGAAUCAAGGGGGUAUCUUCCUAAGUUGUUCCUAUUCAAUGCAUCAUAUUAUACUCUUUUUCCCUUCAUGAGUUUACUAUACAGGUUCUCAUAAAGGUUUUUAAUGAGGUAAUAUCAACAUGAGAUCAUAUGUCAUACUUUCUGUUUUCCCCACCGGGUUUUUGGGAAAGUAUAUACGACAUAUUUAUUGUCCUCUAAACUCUAUGAGUUUUCUCGUAUUGAGUUAAAAGAGACAAUGACCAAUAUAUGUUGUACCAUUUUCUCCUUAUUUUUCCCACCGGGUUUGAAGGAGUUUUAGCAACAUAUCAAACUCGUAUCUCCUUACAUUUUUUCCACAGGGUUUUCAAGGAGAAUCUUUAUCAAGAUGAAGUCUGCUCAUAAUCAAGCAUUGAUUAGGGGGAGUGUUAGGAUUAAUUAAUGAUUGUUAAUUAUGGGAUAAUCCCUGCUUUCACUAACCGCAGGCAGUUGCAUCUGCCGCGUCGGUUCCCUGCCGAAUAGGCACCUCCCUGAACAGACGCCUUCCUAGUGGUGUCUCUUCCCUUUGUAUAAAUAGCAGAUCUCAUCUAAUAAAGGAUACACAGUUUUCAUUACUUCUCUCGUUCUACUCUAACAAAUUUGUUACCAUACGUGCUUGUCGACAACUAAAAUAAGGAUUUUUUUUUAAUGUGAACAUGGAUUCAAUGGUUCUCUGCGAUGACGCAACAGAAAUAACUACAAGGAUUUAUUUGCAUACGUAUACAUCCAUAAAUGUUUUAGGAGAGAAUUACAACACAAGAUCUACGAUGCCUAAAAAAAGAUACGAGAGCAGUAAAAAAUAGCCACAUAAAGAGGAGAAAUGCAAGAUCCGGAUAAAUGAGAACUAAACCCAUGCACGCAGAGAAAUCCGAAAUCGAAGGAAAGGAGAAGUUUCACCAGUUGAGUACGCCUCUCUGGGAGCGCUUCUCUCGCCCACUUGAGGAACCGAGGAGGAAAGGUGGAUAAACAAGCUCGAUGGAUUCAGUCCCUGGCCACACAUAGUAUUGUUCGUGGACUGAGCUAGGUAGCAUAUGGGCAUUUCAAAUACCUAUGCCUCCAUGUGCACAACACAAAGAGUUUUUUUUCAUGCACAUGAAAAAUAAAAGUUUGGUACAAACACCGCUAAAAAAUACAUCCUUAACUGGCUAUACAUCGUAUACAAAUAUGUUUUUUUAAAUCAGAUUUCUCAUCGUGACAACCAUAUUUUCAACCAAUAAAAACUUCCUUAGCUGGUCUAUACAUGUCAUACAAUUUUUUUUCAAACUUGGAUUUCAUAGCAUGCUAAACAAGUAAACAUAUUUUCAAUAUAGCAUGGUUUAACACAUGGACUUUCUACUACCAAUAUCGAAUAUGUACUUUCAAAAUGAAACUAUUUUCAUCGACAACAUGUUUUUAGCGGGUCUCUGCACCAUUUGGCGCAACGGGUCAACUAGUUUUAUCAUAUAGUUGAUGUUCUCUGAGUGCUUUAAAGACCAUUGCCAGAUGUUUCAGAUGUUCCUUGUAGGAUUUGCCGAAUACCAGUAUGUCAUCAAAGAAAACCAGAACACAAAUCCUGAGGAGUGGCCCCAAUACUGAAUGCAUCAGCUGAUGGAAGGAAGGUGGACCAUUGGUCACUCCAAAAGGCACAACAAGGAAUUCAUAGAUACCCAUGUGUGUGCUGAAUGCAGUUUUCUCUAUAUCUUCUACUUUCAUUCUGAUUUGAUGAUAUCCACUCCUUAGAUCAAUCUUAGUGAAGAUUGUUGCUCCAUGUAAUUCAUCAAGGAGGUCCUCAAUCAUAGGGAUGGGAUAUUUGUUUUUAUAGUGUAAGCAUUCAGUUUCCUGUAGUCCACACAUAGUCUCCAAGUGAGAUCCUUUUUCUUGACCAGUAUUGCUGGGGAAGAAUAAGGGCAGCUACUUAAUCUAAUUAUUCCUUUGUGAAUGAUAUCCUUUAUGAUUUGUUCCAUUGCAUUCUUAUGAUGAGGAGGCAUUCUGUAGCAUCUUUGGUCUAUGACAAGUGCCUCAUGUUCUAGAUUGAUUGCAUGAUCACAAGAUCUCUUUGGAGGUAGGGCUCUAGGUUCUUGGAAUACAUCCUUAAAUUUGUCAACAGUUUGGAUAUUUCAGAUGUAUGUUCCCCCACUUUUCCACUGUCCAUUGUGACAGGUUGCAUCCAAAGUAAAUGAUGUAGGGUAGAACCCUGGAUGCUUGAUCUUUCACGAUUGGAGUGUAUCCCGCAACGAGCACAACGAACACGAGGGGAAAAUACAAGGGGAAACACGAGAGGAUUCACUCAAACCAACAAGAUUCGAUUACACAUGUCUAGAUUCUUGAAACACAAAGAGAUACACGAUCCACGCUCAACAAAGGAUGAUACAAGUAGCAAGUCUUCUCCGUGAGGAGGUCUUGAGGGGUCCCAUGAGGGGUCUUGAAUCUGCUUGGGGGAUCUUCUCCAAAGAGGUCGUGGACUCCAAUGGAGAAGUAACCAAGUGGAUGAGAAAAUCUCUAUCUCUCAAAUGAGCUAAUCCUUUGCUAACCCUAGUAAAGUGGAGGAGGAUGAGUUUAUAUAGGCUAAGGGGACAAAGGGGUGCAUGGGCCUUGGCCCAAUACGCACGCACAGGAGGGGGUUCGGAUGAUCCGGAUGGGGAGCCAGAUGAUCCGAGCUUUAGGGACUCGGAUGAUCCGAGAGAUGGUCCGGAUGGUCCGGACGUGGCGAGGAGGCAGGCGACCGCCCUGAUGUCCGAAGGAGGGUCCGGACGUCCGGCUCGGUCCGGAUGAUCCGGGACUCCGUCUGGAUUAUCCGGCUUCGGGUGCAGCUUCGAGUGCUCUCGAGUGGAUUUGCCAGAUCGUCCGAACCGGGGUUUGGAUCGUCCGGGCUCUGUCCGGAUCGUCCGGACCUUGUCUGGAUCAUCCGGCCAGCCUGGGACUUGGCCGAAUCCUUCUCCAUCUUUGCACAUGUUCUCCUCUUCUGAUCCUCCUUGUUCCUUAGCUUCUCCACGGCUAACUCCUUGGUACCUGAGUAUGCAAAGCGUCUCUGUUUAAGGUAGUAGCCAUGUCUCAUGUGAUUCAAAAGGGAGUUGCGAGAGGAGUGAUGUCACCUCGGUUUCAAGAGCUCUUGCACGUGCUCGUGUCAUGGGUCCACUAGGCACUUGGUGAGACGAUGAUAGGUCCAUGGGGAUGACCUUGGGAUGCUCUGCAUCAUCUUCCCACCCCCUUGGGAAAGAUCCGACCUCGGGUCGAAAUCUUCAUCAGCAUGGUAGGGAGAAAGGUCCUUGACAUUGAAGAUAUCGCUCACAUUGUGCUUGUCACAUGGGAUGUCGAUCUUGUAGGCGUUGUUGUUUUAGCGUUCGAGCACCUUGAAGGGGCCAUCGGCUCGUGGUAGAAGCUUGGACUUGCAUUUGUUGGGGAAGCGGUCCUUGUGAAGGUGUAGCCACACAAGAUCUCUAAUGUUGAAUAUCAUGGGUUGCUUGUUGAUAUUGAGCUUGGUCGUGAGGCGUUGUACUUGGCGCUCGAUGGUGUUCCUUGUAUCUUCAUGCACCUUCUUGAGAUAGUUCACUCAUGCAGUCACAUCCAUGUUGAUGCGCUCUUGUAGUGGAAGAGGUAGAAUGUCCAAUGGGGACAACAGGUUGAAACCAUAGACGGCCUCGAAGGGGGACUUGCCAGUAGUAGAGUGUCUUGCGCGAUUGUAGGCGUACUCAGCGAUGGGUAGGCACUCUUCUAUUCCUUGAUGUUCUUCUUGAUCAACACGCGUAGCAGAGUGGAGAGUGUCCGGUUCGUGACCUCCAUUUGGUCGUUGGUUUGUGGGUGGUAUGCCAAAGAGAACAAGAGCUUGAUUCUGAGCUUGGUGCAUAGGGUCUUCCAAAAGUAGCUUAAGAACUUGAUGUCACAGUCCGAGACAAUAGUCUUUGGCACUCCAUCUAGGCGCAAGAUUUCCCUACAAAAAUAUUUGCAACAUGUGAAGCAUCGUCUAUCUUGUUACAUGGGAUGAAAUGAGCCAUUUUAGAGAAUAGGUCCACAAUAACAAACACAGAAUCUUUUCCAUUUCUAGUUCUAGGCAAACCAAGCACAAAGUCCAUACUAAUAUCUUCCCAUGAGUGAUACGGAAUAGGAAGUGGCAUAUAUAGACCAUGGGAUUGAACUUUAGACUUAGCUUUGCAACAUGUAGAGCAUCGAUUGGUGAAGCGUGAGAUGUCGCGGGACAUCUUGGGCCAAUAGUAGUUCUUUGAGAGCGUAGCGAAAGUCUUGUCAUGUCCAAAGUGUCCCAUAAGUCCUCCAUGGGAUUCUUGCAAAAGUAACAAACGAAGAGAAGACUCGGGGGUACAAAGUCUGUUAGCCCUCAUAAGAUAAUCAUCUUUGAUAUAAUAGCGUUCCCAAGAUGUAUGUGUCAAACAUUUGGCAAAUGGAAUAGAAAAAGUAGGAUCAUGCGCAUACAAGUCUUUUAUGUGCUCAAAGCCAAUGACAUUCAAUUCAAGUUUAGUAACAAGCAUGCAUUUGCGUGAAAGUGCAUCUGCCACAACAUUUUAUUUGCCUUUGAUGUAAUUGAUGACACAAGUAAAUGACUCAAUGAAUUCACUCCACUUAGCAUGAUGCUUGUUCAACUUAGUUUGACCCUUACACUACUAGGGAAAACUCUAGUAGUAGCGCUAGUUUUAUAGCUACUGGUAGCGCUUGUACAAGCACUAUGAGUAAGGCACUACAGCUAAUUGGUAGCAGUAGCGCUGCUUUUCCAAUGCUACUGCUAUACCUAGUUAGCAGUCGCACUUGGUAGGGAAAAGCGCUACUAAUAAUAGUAAGUAGCAGUAGCGUUUCUUUUGAAAAGCGGUACUGCUAAGUUUUCCUGUAUUUUUGAAAAUGCAGCUUAUUGUCGCUGUAUUGGUAUAGGUUUUAUAUACAGUACUUUCAUCACAUGAUUUUAUGACCAUGAUUAGUUAGUAUAUACAACAGUGGGUGAAAUGAAUGUGGAUUAUGUUCAAUUGGAGGCAACAUGUGGUGCAUGUCGAAAGUAUACUACUAAUCCAAACUUGAUCCAGUUUGGAUUAGUAGUACUUUCGAUGUGCACCACAUGUUGCCUCCACUUGAAUCUAAUCCAUGUUCGUUUCACCCACUGAUAUAUAUAAUAACUCAUCAUGCUCAUAUAACAACUUAGCAUCAUGCAUCAUAAUAAUAAUAAAUAACUCAUCAUUGGUAUCAUAAUAACAAGUCAUACUCAUCAUCAUCAUACAACUUCUACUCAUUAUCAUAAUAAUAAGUCAUACUCAUCAUCAUCAUAGUCAUUUAGCCAACCCUACUUAAUUGUUCUUGGCACAUGAGCAUGAGUAUUAGCUAGGACCUAACUACCCUCUCUAAAGUAAAAUAGCAUAAAACAAGAUAGGCCCCGACUCUCCAUUUUGGAGAAUGGAGAUUAUCUUGUCUCCAAUUCUUGUGCUUCGCACAAUGUUGCUUCCAAGUAGCUCCCUAUGAUUGUCCAUACAUUUUUCCAAUCUUUGAAUGUCAUGUCUUCAGCGUUUUUAGAAAUCCGGUAUGAACAGUAGUGAAGCCUAGGCAGACCUGGCCAUAAGCUAAUAACAUCAAGGUGACCUUUCGGAAACAUGAGAUGAGGCACACAAUCCUUCGGGAUUUUCUGUUGAAAAACAUAGUAAUAACGCGUAGUUAGCAAUGUAGUUUAGCUUUAGAAGAAUUUAUGCAAAAGAUGCACAGAUGUCAUAAUAGUAAAAAAUCUUACCAUGCCAUUUCCAUAGAUGUUACCAUAGUUCAACACAUGCACUAGUGGCACGUAUUGACCAUAAUGUGCAGGAAUAUGAUAAUUGAUUUUGUAAUUGUCAACAUCAAUAAUAAAUGAGAUAAGAUGAUCUUUCUCCUGAUAAGUUAAUUCUGCACCAUCGGUGUAGUAGGUUCUGUCUACCGUCUUCCGUACAUUCUUUGAAGAAUGAAAAUAAGCUAUAAUGGAAACAAGCUGUCAACUAUUUUGAAAUAAAAAAUAUAAAUUACUUAAUGACUAUGUUUGAGAAACUCACAUAGCGGUAGAAUUGGAAGCGUAUCAACAAGGACCCAAAUGUCCAUAUUAUCUUCCUUGAUGUCAGGAUCACCAAGAUCCAAGGUGACAAGCAUACCCUCAUGAAAAUCAUACAUCUUGCAAAGUGAUUCCCAAUUUGGGAAACCAAAAUGGGAUACGCUCUCAGAAUUGUAUAAAUUUAUAGCAAAAUCCAUACCAUGAUGGGUCCUUAGGUGAACUAUCUUUGUUUCCAUACUUUCAUGAUCUUCAAAAUCCAGCCUCUCCAAGACACAACGUCUUGCAUGGCAUGGGAUAAGCUAGUCGAAUUGUAAAAGAUGAAAAUUACACUUUGAAGAAGUAGAAGUCGUGCUUAAUUAGGAAAAAAACACUUGUCAUCGUUGCGUACCAUUUCAACGUCGAAGGUCUUCUGGAGCUUAAUGUUGAAGCGCCAACCUUCUACCAGUUGAGGCCUAUCGCACAAACCCCGGUCGUCGUCGCACCAGUCGCACUCCGCCAGGAGACUUUCAUUGUCCGAUGACGACAUUUCCUAGGUUCAUAACUCAAAGACUAAACUUAUACAAUUAAAUAUAUGUACUAUGAAAACUAAAUUAGAUCAUUAUUAUUCAUCACGAGUUGACUAUCGGUCUGUUGAGUCUUUUCCUGAAAACUCUCAGCUCACGCGGUGUAUACAUUUGACCGUUGGUGAUGGUCGCUCCUCCUUUCGUUCCCAAGUGCAUUACACCAAAAUGUCUAGCACACAGGAAGGAAGGAGAAGCGACCCCCAUGACAACAGUUGGGAUUCUUCAUCCUCUCAUAUAUGGUGGACACUCUCCCUCACUGAUUCCUCUCUAACAUUUGUGACCGUCGGUGAUGGUCGUUACUCCUCCUUCCCGUACUGCAUAACAAAGGUCUAGCACAAGGAGAAUAAGGAGAAACAACCCCCCCAAUGACAGUCGGGAUUCUUCGUCCUUUCUCAUAUAUGUUGGACACACUCCCUCACUGAUUUUUUACGGUCGGUGAUGGUCGUUACUCCUCCUUCCCCAAGUGCAUAACAAAGGUCUGGCACAAGAAGAAGAAGGCGAAACGACCCCCACGACAACAGUCGGGAUUCUUCUUCUCUCAUAUAUGGUGCAGACUUUCUCCCUCACUCAUUUGUUGACUGUCAUGUAUGGAGCUGAUACGUCUCCAAUGUAUCUAUAAUCUUUGAUUGUUCCAUGCUAUUAUAUUAUCUGUUUUGGAUGUUUUAUAUGCAUUAAUAUGCUAUUUUAUAUUAUUUCUGGGUCUAACAAUACCAGUUUUUGUUUUUUCCUUCUUUUUGAGUUUCGCAGAAAAGGAAUACCAAACAGAGUCCAAACGGAAUGAAACCUUCGCGAUGAUUUUUCUUGGACCAGAAGACAACCAGGAGACUUGGAGAUGAAGUCGGACAAGCCACGAGGUGGCCACAAGGACAGAGGGCGUGCCCAGGGGGGUAGGGCGCGCCCCCACCCUUGUGCCCCUCGUGACUCUCCUGACCUAAUUCUUUCGCCUAUAUAUUCACAAAUAUACCCAAACCACCAGAGGGAGCCACGAAAACACAUUUCCACCACCGCAACCUUCUGUACCCAUGAGAUCCCAUCUAGGGACCUUUUCUGGCACCCCGCCAGAGGGGGAUUCGAUCACAGAGGGCUUCUACAUCAACUCUAUUGCCCUUCCAAUGAAGCGUGACUAGUUUACCACAGACCUACGGGUCUAUAGCUAGUAGCUAGAUGGCUUCUUCUCUCUCUUUGAUUCUCAAUACCAUGUUCUCCUAGAUGUUCUUGGAGAUCUAUUCGAUGUAAUACUUUUUUGCAGUGUGUUUGCCGAGAUCCGAUGAAUUGUGGAUUUUUGAUCAGCUUAUCUAUGAAUAUUAUUUGAAUCUUCUCUGAAUUCUUUUAUGCAUGAUUUGAUAUCUUUGUAAUUCUCUUCGAACUAUCGGUUUGGUUUGGCCAACUAGAUUGGUUUUUCUUGCAAUGGGGGAAGUGCUUAGAUUUGGGUUCAAUCUCGCGGUGUCCUUUCCCAGUGAUAGUAGGGGUAGCAAGGCACGUAUUGUAUUGUUGACAUCGAGGAUAAAAACAUGGGGGUUUUCAUCAUAUUGUUUGAGUUAAUUCCUCUACAUCAUGCCAUCUUUCUUAAUGCGUUACUCCGAUCUUUAUGAACUCAAUACUCUAGAUGCAUGCUUUAUAGCGGUCGAUGUGUGGAGUAAUAGUAGUAGAUGCAGAAUUGUUUCGGUCUACUUGACACGGACGUGAUGCCUAUAUUCAUGAUCAUUGCCUUAGAUAUCGUCAUAACUUUGCGCUUUUCUAUCAAUUGCUCGGCAGUAAUUUGUUCACCCACCGUAUUAUUUGCUAUCUUGAGAGAAGCCUCUAGUGAAACCUAUGGCCCCCGGGUCUAUUUUCCAUCAUAUAAGUUUCCGACCUACAAUAUUAGUUUUUGAUAUACUAUUUUGCAAUCUUUUACUUUCCGAUCUAUAAACCAAAAAUACCAAACUUUACUGUUUAUCUAUCUUAAUCAGAUCUCACUUUUGCAAGUAACCGUGAAGGGAUUGACAACCCCUUUAUCACGUUGGCUGCAAGUUGUUUGAUUGUUUGUGCAGGUAUUCAGUGAUUUGUGCGUUGUCUCCUACUGGAUUGAUACCUUGGUUCUCAAACUGAGGGAAAUACUUAUCUCUACUUUGCUGCAUCACCCUUUCCUCUUCAAGGGAAAAACCAAUGCAAGCUCAAGAAGUAGCACAAUGAAUUUCUGGUGCCGUUGCCGGGGAGAUCUAUGCCAAGUCAAGACAUACCAAGUACCCAUCAUAAACUCCCAUCUCUUUCAUUACAUUAUUCGCCAUUCGCCUCUCAUUUUCCUCUCCCCCACUUCAAAAACGAUUUUCGAAAAGAUUUGCCUUUUCUUCGCCCCUCUUCCGUUUGUCUUCUUCGUUUGCUUUUUCUCUGAUCAUGUGUUGGAUUGCUUGUUUUGUCACGAUGGCUCAACCAAAAAACGUUGAUCCUCACUUUAGGAGGCUGGAAGAAAUUGAAAAUAAUGUUAGGAGCUUCAUGUCUUUGCAAUUUGAGCAUAAUAAUUUCUUUAGAAACGAGCUCAAGGAGCAGAAAUUUUUUAUGGAAUACAUGAAUAAAUAGCUUGAUGAUAUGUCUAAGAAAUUUUAUGGGUUGAAAUCUUAGUUUGCUCAUCUUGAAAAUUUAGUACACCAAAUUUCUGAUAAACAAGAUACCUUAGCAAAUAAGAUGGCCGCUAAACCAGAAUCUUUAAAUAAAGAUGAAGAUCUUAAAGUGAUUGAUGUGACUCCUAUUGAAUCUUUCUUUUCCAAUAUAAAUCUUGAUAAAGAUGGGACUAGAGAUGAGUCAACUUUAGUUAAAAGGCGUCCCAGUGAUUCAAAGUUUUUAGAUCUUGAUGCAAAAAUUGAUAAAAGUGGGAUUGGAGAGGGCAAAAGUUUAAGUAGUAAUGAACCAACUCUUUUGGUUUCCAAGGAAUUUAAUUAUGAUAAUUGUUCUUUAAUAGAUUGUAUUUCCUUGUUGCAAUCCAUGUUGAAUUCUCCUCAUGCUUAUAAUCUAAACAAAGCUUUUACUAAACAUACCGUUGAUGCUAUGAUGCAAUCUUUUGAAGAAAAACUUGAAUUGGAAGUUUCUAUCCUAGAAAACUUUAUGAUGAGUGGGAACCUACUAUUAAGAUUAAGAUUAAGUAUUAUGAGUGCCAUGCUUUGUGUGAUUUGGGUGCUAGUGUUUCCACGAUUCCAAAAACUUUAUGUGAUGUGCUAGGUUUUCGUGAAUUUGAUGGUUGUUCUUUAAAUUUGCAUCUUUGGAUUCCACUAUUAAGAAACCUAUGGGAAGAAUUAAUGAUGUUCUUAUUGUUGCAAAUAGGAAUUAUGUGCCCAUAGAUUUCAUUGUUCUUGAUAUAGAUUGCAAUCCUACAUGUCCUAUUAUUCUUGGUAGACCUUUCCUUGGAACGAUUGGUGCAAUUAUUGAUAUGAAAGAAGGAAACAUUAGAUUUCAAUUUCCCUUAAGGAAGGGAAGGAAGGGCAUGGAACAUUUUCCAAGAAAGAAAAUUAAAUUGCCAUAUGAAUCUAUUAUGAGAGAAACUUAUGGAUUGCAUACCAAAGAUGACAAUACCUAGAUCUAUUAGUGUUUUUAUUCCUAGCUAGGGGCGUGAAACAAUAGCGCUUGUUGGGAGGCAACCCAAUUUUAUUUUUGUUUUUGCUUUUUAGGUUCUGUUUUGUAAUAGAUAGUUCAUCUAUCCUCUGUUUAGAUGUGGUUUUUGUGUUUUAAUUAGUGUUUGUGCCAAGUAAGACCUUUGGGAUGGCUUACGGUGAUAGUUGAUUUGAUUUUGCUGAAAAACAGAAACUUCUGCUCUCAGGAAAACAAUUCUCAUUUCUAACAAAAGCGUGAUAAAAUAUUGAUCUUUUUGUAGAAGAUUAAUAAACAAAUUUCUUAGGUUGUCCUAAUUUUUCAGAAUUUUUUGAGUUACAGAAGUAUUCGAACUAUCCAGAUUAUUACAGACUAUUCUGUUUUUAACAGAUUCUAUUUUCUAUGUGUUGUUUGCUUAUUUUNNNNNNNNNNNNNNNNNNNNNNNNNNNNNNNNNNNNNNNNNNNNNNNNNNNNNNNNNNNNNNNNNNNNNNNNNNNNNNNNNNNNNNNNNNNNNNNNNNNNNNNNNNNNNNNNNNNNNNNNNNNNNNNNNNNNNNNNNNNNNNNNNNNNNNNNNNNNNNNNNNNNNNNNNNNNNNNNNNNNNNNNNNNNNNNNNNNNNNNNNNNNNNNNNNNNNNNNNNNNNNNNNNNNNNNNNNNNNNNNNNNNNNNNNNNNNNNNNNNNNNNNNNNNNNNNNNNNNNNNNNNNNNNNNNNUCUAUGGGUAGUAUUGGGGGGGGGGGCGGGGUAUAAACCAUGGAAAUGUUGGAAUACAGUAGAUAUUACACCAAUAUAAAUAAAGAAUGAUUUCAUAACAGUACCAAAAGUGGUGAUUUAUUUUCUUAUACUAACGGAGCUUAUGAGAUUUUGUGCUGAGUUUUGUGCUGUGAAGUUUUCAAGUUUUGGGUAAGGAUUUGAUGGACUAUGGAAUAAGGAGUGGCAAGAGCCUAAGCUUGGGCUUGGGUAUGCCCAAGGCACCCCAAGGUAAUAUUCAAGGACAACCAAGAGCCUAAGCUUGGGGAUGCCCCGGAAGGCAUCCCCUCUUUCGUUUACGUCUAUCGGUAACUUUACUUGAGGCUAUAUUUUUAUUCACCACAUGAUAUGUGUUUUGCUUGGAGCGUCUUGUAUGAUUUGAGUCUUUACUUUUUAGUUUGAUACAAUCAUCCUUGAUGUACACACCUUUUGAUAGGGACACGCAUGAAUCGUGAUUUAUUAGAAUAUUCUAUGUGCUUCACUUAUAUCUUUUGAGCUAGGCAAUUUUGCUCUAGUGCUUCACUUAUAUCUUUUUAGAGCACGACAAUGAUUUUAUUUUAUAGAAAUUGUCGAACUCUCAUGCUUCACUUAUAUUAUUUUGGAAAAUUCAAAAAACUUAUAUUAUUUUGAGAGUCUUUAAACAGCACGGUAACUUUCUUUGGUUAUAAAUUUAGUCCUAAUAUGAUAGGCAUCCAAGAGGGAUAUAAUAAAAACUUUCAUAUAAAGUGCAUUGAAUACUAUGAGAAGUUUGAUUCCUUAUGAUUGUUUUGAGAUAUAAAGAUGGUGAUAUUAGAGUCAUGCUAGUAAGUAAUUUUGAAUUUGAGAAAUACUCAUGUUAAAGUUUGUGAUUCCCGUAGCAUGCACGUAUGGUGAACCGUUAUGUGAUGAAGUCGGAGCAUGAUUUAUUUAUUUAUUGUCUUCCUUAUGAGUGGUGGUCGGGGACGAGCGAUGGUCUUCCUACCAAUCUAUCCCCCUAGGAGCAUGCGCGUAGUACUUCCUUUCGAUAACUAAUAGAUUUUUGCAAUAAUUAUGUGAGUUCUUUAUGACUAAUGUUGAGUCCAUGGAUUAUAUGCACUCUCACCCUUCCACCAUUGCUAGCCUCUCUAGUGCCGCACAACUUUCGCUGGUACCAUACACCCACCAUAUACCUUUCUCAAAACAGCCACCAUACCUACCUAUUAUGGCAUUUCCAUAGCCAUUCCGAUAUAUAUUUCCAUGCAACUUUCCACCAUUCCAUUUAUUAUGACACGUUCCAUCAUUGUCAUACUGCUUUGCAUGAUUAUGUAGUUGACAUCGUAUUUGUGGCAAAGCCACCGUUCAUAAUUCUUUCAUACAUGUCGCUCUCGAUUCAUUUCACAUCCCGGUACACCGCCGGAGGCCUUCAUAUAGAGUCAUAUUUUGUUCUAAGAAUCGAGUUGUAAUUCUUGAGUUGUAAGUAAAUAAAAGUGUGAUGAUCUUCAUUAUUAGAGCAUUGUCCCAUGUGAGGAAAGGAUGAUGGAGACUAUGAUUCCCCCACAAGUCGGGAUGAGACUCCGAACGAAAAAAAGAGGCCAAAAAAUGAGAGAAGGCCCAAAUGAAAAAAUGAGAGAAAAGAGAGAAGGGACAAUCUUACUAUCUUUUUACCACACUUGUGCUUCAGAGUAGCACCAUGAUCUUCAUGAUAGAGAGUCUCCUAUGUUGUCACUUUCAUAUACUAGUUGGAAUUUUUCAUUAUAGAACUUGGCUUGUAUAGUCCAAUGAUGGGCUUCCUCAAAUUGCCCUAGGUCUUUGUGAGCAAGCGAGUUGGAUGCACACCCACUUAGUUUCUUUUUGAGCUUUCAUACACUUAUAGCUCUAGUGCAUCCGUUGCAUGGCAAUCCCUACUCACUCACAUUGAUAUCUAUUGAUGGUCAUAUCCAUAUCCCGUUGAUACGCCUAGUUGAUGUGAGACUAGCUCCCUCGUUUUGUCUUCUCCACAGCCACCAUAUUCUAUUCCACCUAUAGUGCCAUGUCCAUGGCUCACGCUCAUGUAUUGCGUGAACGUUAAAAAAGUUUGAGAACAUCAAAAGUAUGAAACAAUUGCUUGGCUUGUCAUCGGGGCUAUGCAUGAUUUAAAUAUUUUGUGUGAUGAAGAUGGAGCAUAGCCAGACUAUAUGAUUUUGUAGGGAUAAGCUUUAUUUGGCCAUGUUAUUUUGAGAAGACAUAAUUGCCUUGUUAGUAUGCUUGAAGUAUUAUUGUUUUUAUGUCAAUAUUAAUCUUUUCUUUUGAAUAUUAUGGAUCUAAACAAUCAUGCCAAAAUAAUGAAAUUACACGGAUAAAUAUGUUGGGUAACAUUCCACAUCAAAAAUUCUGUUUUUAUCAUUUACCUACUCGAGGACGAGUAGGAAUUAAGCUUGGGGAUGCUUGAUACGUCUCCAACGUAUCUAUAAUUUUUUAUUGUUCCAUGCUAUUAUAUUAUCUGUUUUGGAUGUUUUAUAUGCAUUAAUAUGCUAUUUUAUAUUAUUUUUUGGACUAACCUAUUAACCUAGAGCCCAGUGCCAGUUUUUUUCUUCAUGUUUUUGAGUUUCACGGAAUAGGAAUACCAAAGAGAGUCGAAAUGGAAUGAAACCUUCGUGAUGAUUUUUCUUGGACCAGAAGACAACCAGGAGACUUGGAGAUGAAGUCGGAGAAGCCACGAGGAAGCCACAAGGACGGAGGGCGCGCCCAGGGGGUAGGGCGCGCCCCCACCCUUGUGGCUCCCCAUGACUCUCCUGACCUAAUUCUUUCUCCUAUAUAUAUUUCCAAAUAUCCCCAAACCACCAUAGGGAGCCACGAAAACACUUUUCCACCACCCCAACCUUCUGUACCCGUGAGAUCCCAUCUAGGGACCUUUCCCGGCAUCCUGUCGGAGGGGGAUUCGAUCACGAAAGGCUUCUACAUCAACUCUAUUGCCCUUCCGAUGAAACAUGAGUAGUUUACUACAGACCUACGGGUCCAUAGCUAGUAGCUAGAUGGCUUAUUCUCUCUCUUUGAUUCUCAAUACAAUGUUCUCCUCGAUGUUCUUGGAGAUCUAUUUGAUGUAAUACAUUUUUGAGGUGUGUUUGCCGAGAUCCAAUGAAUUGUGGAUUUAUGAUCAGCUUAUCUAUGAAUAUUAUUUGAAUCUUAUCUGAAUUCUUUUAUGCAUGAUUUGAUAUAUUUGUAAUUCUCUUCAAACUAUCGGUUUGGUUUGGCCAACUAGAUUGCUUUUUCUUGUAAUGGGUGAAGUGCUUAUCUUUGGGUUCAAUAUUGCGGUGUCCUUUCCCAGUGACAGUAGGGGCAGCAAGGCACAUAUUGUAUUGUUGCCAUCGAGGAUAAAAAGAUGGGGUUUUCAUCAUAUUGCUUGAGUUAAUUCCUCUACAUCAUGUCAUCUUUCUUAAUGCAUUACUCUAUUCUUUAUGAACUUAAUACUCUAGAUGCAUCUUGGAUAGUGGUCGAUGUUUGGAGUAAUAGUAGUAGAUGAAGAAUUGUUUUGGUCUACUUGACACUGACAUGAUGCCUAUAUUCAUGAUCAUUGCCUUAGAUAUCGCCAUAACUUUACGCAUUUCUAUCAAUUGCUCGGCAGUAAUUUGUUCACCCACCGUAUUAUUUGCUAUCUUGAGAGAAGCCUUGCCCCCCGGGUUUAGUUUCCAUCAUAUAAGUUUCCGAUCUACAAUAUUAGUUUCCGAUCUAGUAUUUUGCAAUCUUUUACUUUCCGAUCUAUAAACCAAAAAUACCAAAAAUAUUUACUUUACCAUUUAUCUAUCUCUACCAGAUCUCACUUUUGCAAGUAACUGUGAAGGGAUUCACAACCCCUUUAUCGCGUUGGGUGCAAGUUGUUUGAUUGUUUGUGCAGGUAUUCGGUGAUUUGUGCGUUGUCUCCUACUGGAUUGAUACCUUGGUUCUCAAACUGAGAGAAAUACUUAUCUCUACUUUGCUGCAUCACCCUUUCCUCUUCAAUGGAAAAACCAACGCAAGCUCAAGAAGUAGCAGGAGCCUCGACAGACUUAAAGUCAACCUGAAAUGUCGUUUAAUUAUCUUUCUACAAAAUCGUGCGACUCGAUAUUUCCUACAUAUUCUAGCACAAGUCAUGCCAAAAUUCACAGAAAAAUCCGGCAUGACCUUUGCUAAAAAGGACAUAUAUCGAGCGCCUGAAAUUUGCCGAAAUGGAAAUUAAUCAACACUCUGGCAAAACAUAGGCCGCACUGUGAGGUGUUCCCUGCAAACAUGGGCCACUCAUGUAGCUACUACUCUACUACAACUAUCAAAACAUCUACAUCAUCAUCGACAUGGGGAUAGUGCUCUUUCUCACCUCGAGAUCGGAGGUGGUCGGUGACGGGGACGACGGCAGGGAUGAUGCAGGGGCUCCUUGAUUUCUACAAAAACAAAAUAUAUACAAAAAUAUUAUUAUCCUCAUCUUAGGACUUAGUCAAACCCUAUGUCUAAAACAUCCUACUUCUAGCCCUACCAUUUACUCAAAAUACCUUGUUCUAACCCUAAAAAUUGAAAAGACAUAUAUACAUUUACUAAAGAUACCCUAGUUCUAGCCCUAACAUCUGUCCAUCCAUCCAUCUAUCUAUAUAUCCUCAUAAAUCCUAGAAAAAUGCACUAGUUUUUUUAACUACUGUCUACUUCUUGAAUCAUAGAAAAAUGCCCUAAUUUCACAUAACUUAGAAAAAUUCCUAUUCUAUUCAAAAGACCUACAUUUACUUAUUUUAUUCAAUUCUAUUCAGAAAACCUACAUUUACUAAAAUAGUCUCAUAUAGCAUAAUAUAUUCUGUACCUAAAAAUUUCUAUUACUAAAAAAUUUUAUACCUAAAUUUUUAUACAAAGAGAGGAGGGCAGUGGGAGGAGGAGGAGGAGGGAGUAGUGAGGGGUUCGAGUGGUUGGGGAAGGGAGGAGAGAGGAGGACAGUGGGAGGAGGGAGGAGGGAGCAGGGAGCAGGUGAGGGAGGAGCGAGGGACGCCGGUGCGCGGAGGGAGGAGAGAGGAGGGCCGUGGGAGGAGGGAGAGAGGAGGGCGGCAAGAGGAGGAGGGAGGGAGGCAGAUACCUUGGGGGCGACGACACGCGACGGGGUGGGCGAGUGAGAGUGUGAGGGGGAGAGUGAGGACGUGCGUGGGCCGGGGUGUGGAUAAGGUACCCGUAGUAGUAGCACUGGUCCACAACCACCACUACUGCUAAGAUCCAUAGUAGUAGGGCUUUAAUGUAAAAAGCGCUACUGCUAUGAUCAUUAGUAGUAGCAUUUUUGUGGAACCAACACUACUACUAAGGCUAUGAUCAUUAGCAUGUAAAAAGCAUCAAAUUAAAAAAACAUUGGUCAUCAUUGAUCUUUUUUGCGUAGAAUCUAAAUUGUCAGUAUGAAUCUUUGCCAGUUUAGGAACCUGCGAAGAUUCAUAUUGCUACAAAUCCUACACAUAGAGUACAAUGAAGACCAAGUGGUUGUGAUAGUUUGAGGAGCACCAUAUUUAAGGUGGUAAACAUUCUGUUCGCGGAGCGAGGUGGGACUAAACAUUGGUCUUAGGAGGGGACUGAAUUUAGCAGUAGCGAUGGUUAUAGGAAAGCGCUAUUGCUAUGUACAAUAGCAGUAGCGCUUUUUACAAUGAGCGCUACUAGUAUACCUAGCCUGCCUGCAACGGUCUGGUAAUUAUAGUAGUAGCGUGUUUUAUAAAAAGCGCUACUGGUGAGCUCCUGUGUAUAAGCAUUUCCUUAGUAGUGUUAAGGUACUUAAGUGUUUUAUUGUUGGUAUGGAUAACAAAUUCAUGUGGGCCAAGAUAAUGUUCCCACUCACGCAAAACUCGCACUAAAGCAUAUAGCUCUUUAUCAUAGAUGGUAUAAUUGAGUUGCACCGUGGGAAGUUUCUCACUAAAGUAAGCUAUGGGGCACUUCUCUUGCAUUAACACACCUCUUAUGCCAUUACCGCUAGCAUCACAAUGAACUUCGAAGUUUUGCCAAAAUUGGGUAAUGCAAGCACGGGAGCAUGAGUAAGAAAUUUUUUAAGUUCGUUAAAUGCAGUAUCUUGGGAUGGUCCCCAAACAAAAGGUGCAUUCUUAUUACUCAAGGCAUGCAAGGGAUAUGCAAUGGUGCUAAAAUCCUUAAUGAAUCGAUGAUAGAAACUGCUAAACCAAGGAAACUUCACACUUGUUGCAAAUUGGAUGGUUGUGGCCAAGUUUUAAUAGCAUCUAUCUUAGAUUCAUCUACAUGAACACCCUUAGAAGAUAUGACGAAACCCAAGAAAGCAAGCUUAUCAACACCAAAAAGGCAUUUGUCCAUAUUAGCAUAAAGACACUCUUUUCUAAGAGUUUGCAAAACCGUUCUAAGAUGGGUGACAUGAUCUUUAAGAGAUUUGCUAAAUACAAGAAUAUCGUCAAAGUAGACCACAACAAAUACACCAAUGUAUGGCCUAAGAACAAAAUGCAUGACUCAUAUGAAAGUACCGGGUGAUUUGGAUAAGCCCAUUGGCAUAACAAGCCAUUCAUAUAAGCCAAAUUUGGUUUUAAAUGUAGUUUUCCAUUAAUCACCUUCUUGUAUGUGGAUUUGGUAAUAGCCACUCUUAAGAUCAAUCUUAGAGAAAAGGGUGGCUCCGCUAAGCUCAUCUAGCAUAUCAUCUAGGCAUGGAAUGGGGCAAUGAUAACGCACGGUGAUAGCAUUGAUAGGACGAAAAUAGGAACACAUACGAUAUGUACCAUCUUUCUUGGUAACAAGGAUUACCGGGACGGCACAAGGGCUCAAACUUUCACGUACAUGGACGUUGUCGAUGAGUUGUACUUGCCAUUGGAUCUCCUUGGUUUCCUCGGGGUUGAUGCGGUAGGGGGCCUUGUUAGGAAGAGGUGCUCCAGGGAUGAGGUCGAUGCGUUGUUCGAUGCCUCGGAGUGGAGGUGACCCGGAUGUAGCUCGUCGGGAAAUACAUCUUGUAAUUCCUGUAAGAGAGAAGAUAAGACUAAAGGUUGAUUGUGAGAGGUGUUAGUUUUUGGUGCCUCGUCCUUGCACAAAAAGGACAUAGCGCAUGACACUUCAUGGGUUAUCACACACAUCUCUCAUCUCACUUUUGGUGGCAAAUAGUACUAAGUUUUUCUUGUCGCUCAUCGUGGAGGCACUCAAUUUGGGCUUGUGGCGCUCACUCUCUUUUGGGUGAUUCGCUCUCUCACUAUUCUCUCCAUAAUGGGUGGCUUUCUUGUCGGCGAUCACUUGACUUGGUGACAUAGGUCGUAGGACGUACUCCUUUCCCUUCAUCUUGAAGCUAUAGUGAUUGGUUCGCCUGUUGUGGAUGACGCCUAGGUCAAAUUGCCAUGGUCGUCCAAGGAGGAUGUGGCAAAAGGGUAUUGGAACGACAUCACACUCCAAAGUGUCUUCAUAUGCUCCUAUCUUGAAGGAAACUUGCACCAUGUGCUCCACUUGAAUAGUGUCGGAGUCGCUUAACCAUUGGACCUUGUAGGGAUGCGGGUGCUUCUUCAUCUUAACUAAUUGGAGCUUGGAGCAUAGUUCUUCACUUUCCAAGUUAUGGCAACUCCCUCCAUCGAUGAUGACCUUCACGGACCUUCCAUUGAUGCUCGCCUUGGUGUGGAAGAUAUGGUAUCUUUGAUCUUCUUCUUGUUGAUGUUGAAGUGUCCAGACCUUGGAGACAACGAGAGCAAGGCUCAAAUCUUCAUCACAAAAGACUUGAUCAUCUUCAUCCUCAUUCACGCGUCGGUGCAUGUCCACUUGAUCGAGGGCUUCCAUCUCCUCUUCACUCAUGGAGUCAUAUGUUUCGUCGUCGUUAAGGAUCAUGGUGCGCUUGUCGGUACACUCAAAUGACUUGUGGCCUCGGCGGCCACAUGUGAAACACUUGAUUUAACUUGUCUUGAUGAUCUCAUCCAGUGAAGUUGUAGAUGAUGAAGCUCUUGGCUUGAAGUUGCUUGUAGUAGGAGGACGGCUAGAGGAUGUCGAAGUUUUCUUGUAACUUGACAUGUCGCCGUUGCUUGUGUAAGGUUUGUUGAGGUAGAAGGUGUUGGAGUCGUUGAAGCUUGGGUUGCAUCAUGUUUACCUAUUGUUAUUUGUAACAUCCCAAAUUUUCAAUUUGGAAUGUUAUACACUAGAUCAUCAUUGCAUAUCAUAUUUUAUUUGCAUUUUGGUUGAUCCUAGAAAUUCUACGCAACUCAAGGACCCUCGGAGAUAGUUGGGGAUUUCGUUAUUUUCAUAUUUGAGCUUUCUCAAAUUUUGAAAAUAGGAUCAUUUGAUUUUAUUUAUUUUAUCUUCAAUUAUUUCUAUUAUCAAACUAUGAGAGAGGGAAUAAAAUGACUUUCCCAAAACAAAGAAAUAUUGAGGAUUUAAUAAUAAAAUCAAAUAAGAUUUUAUUUUGGUUUUAUUUGCUAUUUUAUUUGAAUUUAGGAAAAAUGCCCGUUUUACAAAAUUGCAUUUAGGCUCCAAAUAAAUGUUCAUCCUGUGCGGCUUGAUUUUAGAAGCCGGGGAAAAUUUAUUUCGGGAUUUUUGGAGUCCGUUUAGUAUUCCUUUUGUUUAUUUUCUCGGCGUAAUUAUUUUUAAAAAAGUCCGAACCGACCUUGGCCCGUGUCCGGCCAGGACUCCGCCUGGCCGGGGGAGGGCGGGGGGGCUUUAUAUAGCCGCGCCCCGGGCCGCCCCAGCCCAAGCCGCGCCCCGCCCGCAAACCCUAGCCGCCGCCUGCCGCCGCCGGAGUUCGCCGCCGACGAGGUCAAGCCGCCCCGGUUUUUUUUAGAAAACCGUUGGUUUUCACCGUUUUUUUGGUUUUUUUGAUUCAUUUUUUUAGAUGGAUCGGUUUUUUCUCAGUUUAGUUAAUUAGCGAGCAUUCGCUCGUUCGUUCGUUUUAACGAGCGCGUUCAUCGUUUAGAUCCAGAUAACGAAUGUUCGUUCGUUAAUAUGUUCGUCGUUUUUCUUUUUCUCGGAUUAAAUCCGCGAUUUUUCUGAUCGCGAUUUCUGAUCCAAUUUUCGUUCUAGUAUAACUUUUCGCUCGUUUAUCUGAAUCAGGCGAUUCAAGCGCCUGGAGUUUCGUCUCGAAACCCUCUUUCCGUUUAAUCAACUCAAACAAGUUUUUGCCUUUGUAAAAUUUGACCUAGAUCCAGAAUAGUAAACGAAGCCUGUUUCUUUUGCCGUUUGUCUUUCGUUGCUUCGUUCGUUUUGAUUCUUUUUGCCAACCGGAGUUCUUAAGUUGAACUAUCUGGUUAGAUCUCUUAUUCGAGUUUUACCUGUGCAUUAGUUGAGUACUUAUUGUAUGCUUGUUUGUUCGCGAUAGAGUACCCGGAGUGCGCCGCUUGCUACUUUGAAUCGCUAGGUUUCACGGAUUAUCAGCAAGGCAAGUAACACUUUGAUCAUACCUCUUGCUACCCAGUUUUUAUUGCAUUAGAUCAACCCUCACACAUUGCAUGUUUAGGAUCUAAUUAAAUUAUGGGUUUGGGAAGUAGAUGAGGUAGUACCUAUCACCUGUUUUAUUAUCAAACCUUUGGGAGUUACUUCUACGAUUGCUUAUUAUGCCAUGCUAUGCUAGUAGACGUGGAUUGGGUGAGUGAAAUCCAUGACAGAUGUGAGUUUGUUAAAUUAAUGGUUUAUCUAAGGUGGCAACUUAAACACACAUCUGGGUGGAUUGAGGCACCUGGGUAUUCCAGCGAUUGCCUGUUUUUCUUUUGGACUGCCACCCAGGCUCAAAGGGAUCAUGAGAUUAUUCAUGCUAGAAACUUCCGUGUGCAGCCACAAGCUACUAUGGGCUCUAGCAUAGUUGAUUAAGUCGUGUGAACUCUUACAAUGGUAGACUAGCAGAUAUAGGGGAAAGUAGGUGUAACGGUCUACCCGUUCGUAAGGUGUGAGCGCUUCUGAAAGACUAUGUCUCGGUGUAGCGACCCGACCCGAAUGGGUCAAGUCUCUGUGCUUAAGUGUCAUCCCUGGAUCGGUAUGCUGACACACACAGUACUCGAGGAUUUAUAACAGAGGUAAAUCACAUGUAAAAGUAACGUAAAUACUAUUACCUCAAAUCCAAAAUAGUGGAAGUAACAAGGUUGUGGAUUCGCAUCAACACCAACGGCAAAGUUAAGUGUAGAAAUCGUAACCCUAACGUACCACUUACUCGUCGUAAGAUAAUCCUGCAACAUGAGACGUUGCAGCCACAGAGGGUCAGUACAUUGAAUGUACUGGCAAAUUCACACCAUAGAGAAUGAUGAAUAAAGGCUAUCACUACAUGCAUAUUUGGCUGGUGGAAAAGCUCUAUGGUUAUAAGGUUUUUGCGAAAAGCCAAUUUUUCCCUACUGCAAAGGAAUACAUUUUAAUUAACUAUCAUGGUGGUUGUUGAACAUUGAGAAUGGUUGACAUCAUUCUCAAUCCCAAUUAAGUAACAUCAUUAAACCCAACAAUAUUCAUUUAAAGUAACGUGAUGAGAUCAACAGGAUAAUCCAAGAACUAGAUACUCAAGACGUCCAUAACCGGGGACACAGCUAAUCUUGAUUAGUUUAUACACUCUGCAGAGGUUUGCGCACUUUUCCCCACAAGACUCGAUCUCCUCCGUUGGUUUUCUCGCACUACAUGGUGUUUGAGAAACGGAUGACCGAGACAUAGCCUUUCAGAAGCGCUAGCACCUUAUGUUGGAUAGACCGGUACACCUACUUUCCCCUACAUCUGCUAGUCUACCCUGUAAGAGUUCGCACGACUUAAUCAACUAUGCCAGAGCCCAUAAUGGCUUGUGGCUGCACACGGAAGUUUCUAGUAUGAAUAAUCUCAUGAUCCCUUUGAGCCUGGGUGGCGGACAGUAGGAUGAUCACACGGUAUAUCCCCGGGAUCUCCUAGGACAACACUGGUAUAUCCCUAGGUGUUUGGGAAAGUCCACUGGUAUAUCCCCAGGGUGCCCCUAGCAAUCCACCCAGAUGUGUAUUCAAGUUGCCACCUUAAGUUGAACCAUUAAAUAACAAUCUCACAUCUGUCAUGGAUUUCACUCAUACCCAAACCACGUCUACGAGCAUAGCAUGGCAAUAUAAGCAUAACGUAAAAGUAACUCCCAAGGUUUGAAUGCAGGGCAAUAGGUUCCUACCUCAUCAACUACUUCCCAAUACCCACAAUUUAAUUAGAUCCUAAUCAUGCAAUGUUUGAGGUUUGAUCUAAUGCAAUAAAAACUGGGUAUGAAAGAGGUAUGAUCAAAGUGUGAACUUGCCUGCAAUGUUGAUGAAGAUGAUUCACACUCAAAACUCUUGAUAGUUCUACUCGUCACACUCCGGUCAAUCUAUCGUAAGCAAGCAACAGUAACCACACAUAAGCAAUCACUCCAAAGAUCAGAAAGAACGAAGAAGACGAUUCGGAAACAUCAAAACCAAGCAAAUAACUCUUGCAAGAUAAAACAAUUUCUAACAGUACCAAAAUUAUGUGAAUUUGGCCUUAUUAGAAUGUUUAGGUCAAGAUCUUCGAUUUGCAAAAAGAAUCAACUCAAACGGAGCUACGAAACUCAAGUUAUGAUCAAACGAAGUUUGAAUUCAAAUCUGACCUAAUUUAAAUUUUAAACUUGUCAAAAACAUGUUUGAGUUGGAUUAAUGGAUAGAGGGGAUCAUAACGAAGACGUGGGCGUUGGUUUCGUUGGAUUUGGAUAAACGAGUAAAAAGAUGUGGUCGUUUGAAGUACAGGGACUAAUCUGUAAAUAAACUAUUCACAAACGGGUCCCUGGCCGAAAAAUAAAAAAGAAAAAAAAACUAAAUAACGAACGUUUGCUACCGAACGCUAAUGAACGAACCUGUUCACUGCAGAAGCUAACAUAGCGAAUGUUUACUAAUUAAAGAAAACGUUUCGUGGAAAAAAACAAAGCGAUCUGGAUCGUUGGAUCCAGAUCCGACGAUGAGGGAGGCGGCGGUUACCGCGGCGAUCGCCGGAGUUCGGGAAGACGGCGGCGGCGGCUUCGAACGGGGACGGGGCGGUGGCUCCGGUGGCUCUCCGGCUCGGGCGUCACCACCAGAUGGAGCGGGGCGACGAGGCGGAGACGAGGGAGGCGGCAGCUCCGGUCGAGGGCGACGGGACGGUGCGGGGCGACGGUGGCGGAUCUCGUCGGAGUUCGGUCUCCGGCGAGGUUUGUGCGAGGCUGCGGGAGGCGAUGGCGGCUCCGGUUGGAGGAAAAAGAGGCCGGGGUCCGGGCGGCUCUAUUUAUGGAGGAGAGGGGCGGCGAGAUGCGUGGAGGAGGGGGCAAGAAGAGGCCGGCGGUGGCACGGAGGCGACGGUGAUGGCGUCGCGGCUCGGGACUUAGUCCCGAGCUCGGGGACAAGCGGCAUGGGCUAGCUGGGCUAGGCCGCGGCCUGGCAGGAGCUGGGCCGGCCCAGUCGGUGAGGGAAGUUCUUUUUUUAAACAUUAUUUUCUAGACAAAUAAAAUAAUAAAAGCAAAAUAAUUAAAAAUAUUAUAUAGGCAUAUAAUAUAUCAAAAUUUUCAGAAAAAGAUUUUCUACGACAUGAACAUUUUUAUAACUUUAAAUAAAAUCCACAAAAAUUCAGAUAAAUCAAAGAGUGCUAGUGGUCUAUUAAAAUCCAACUAAAAUCAUUUUAAAAAAUACCAAAAUGAUUUCAACUUAAUUUUUCUCCAAUUUUAUAAUGUUGGGAAUCAUGUUACCCUAUUUUCCAUAUAUUUUAUUUUUGGAGAAAAAUAAUUUGAAUAAAACUCAAAUAAAUCCAAAUUGAAAAUUAAUUCCAAAAGGACUUGAAAUUGAUCCUUUGAAACUCCCAACUCAUAUUUCAUAAUUUGAAGAAGUCAUUUUAUCUUCUCUCAUGAAAAUCAUUGAGUUGCAUAAAGUUUAUGAAUUGGAAAAAUAUUUCCCAAUGGAAUUCAAAUAUUUUUCAAACACCCUUUUCAUUUUAAAUGGAAGAAGUCAUGUCAUCUUCUCUCUAGGGUUUUGUGUUGAAAAGAAUUUGAAUUCAUGGAGAUCAGAAAGCAAAUAUGAAAGUUUGGGAAAGUCCUUUUAUUCCCUCUCAUUUAACUUUCAAAAGUUUCGAAUUCACUCACUUUCAGAUAAUCAAUCAAACAAUCAAUCAAAUCUAUCUAUUUAUUAUAACAUUCCAAAAAUUAGAAUUUUGGGAUGUUACAAACCUACCACCCUUAAAAGGAAUCCCGUCCUCGAGAUUCGGAGAGGCUAGAAAGAAAUUGGUUAGGGUUUGGGGUCUUCUCAAAAUCCAUCGAUCAUCCCAGGGGUCUGGGGUGCUACCACCCUUAGAAGCAUGGUUACUGUUCCAUCAAAACUCAUAUACUCCAUUCUUAUUCUUGACAGUAUCGGUCUUCUCAGAUCCUCGAGAAAAUUCCUUCUCUGAGCUCUUCCGGUAGUGGCAUAACCUUUUCCUCAAUUCUUCUGUCUUUCAUCUAGGUAAGGUUAUUCCGAGACUGGGUCUUCUUAGCGGACGGGUCUGGCGCCAAUACUAAUCAACUAUCGACAUCUCAUGGUGGUCAACAAUUUAUGGUUUCUCCUGCAGGAAAUGGGUCUGGGUUGAUCCUCACCGUAUAACCUACGGUUGGCAAAAAGCUGCCGUGUAUAAGGGAAAAAUUCUUAUACCAUUCUAAGGUUUAACAAGGUUUAAUAUCGUCGUCUCUAGUCACUCAGAUUUACCAUCCCAUAUAGCAAGGCGAAUAAUAAGAGUAAGUCGAUAUGGUGAUCAAUCCAUCCCGCACCCAAAUCAUUACCCUGUAUAUGCUUUAGUGAAUCUUGCAUUCUAACACUCGGUCAUCCUCACAAGCAUUGCAGAAUUUCUCUUGUCAAUGAACUAAGUUCGGAUAAAUCCAUGGAUUCUGCAAGCCAAACAAUCAUCUAGCGUUCCUUCACCACUCUCAGGUUUGCGUAAACUCCUAUAAGAUCGUCUAUCGAUAAACGUCGUAUCUUCCUCUGGGGUUUUUCCUUCAGCAAGAGUGUGCUUGCUUCUUGGCAGGUCCUGGGGCCUGUGGGUUAUGGCCCAUCUCAUCACUUGUAGUCCUUGAACUUAUCAUUGGGCAAUUUAUCGUUAUUCCAACAUCCAACUUCCAGCUUCCUAGCAUACUUAGAAUCCAUCCAAUUGUAUUGUCUUUCUUCCUUCUAUUGGCAGCAAACUAGGACAUGAUUACUCAAACUCAUCAUGGAGUUUCCAUUGAUCCAUAUUUCCGACAUCAUACCUCCUUUAUAUCCAAUAGUAAUUCAUCUCUUCAUCCUCGUGGGAUAUCCCUCAUAUCGAGGUAAAAACUUAUACUUAUGAAGUACAUAUUCCACUUCGUGGAACAUCAUUAUCCUUUCCGGGGUCAAGUGUCCUUACAGGGGAAUAUUGGCCAUCUCUGCAUGGCACUCCUUCAACUAGGAAACGUGAAACACAUCUUGAACUCCUGACAGUCCUUCGGGUAACUCAAACUUGUAGGCCACUUCUCUCAUACGCUCCAAAACUCGGUAUGAUCCUACAAAUCUCGGGGCUAACUGUCCCUUAACUCCAAAUUGUUUAACUCCUCGCAGAGGGAUCACGCGAGACAUGCUCUGUCUCCAAUGUCAUAGACUACCUCCUUACGUUUUUAAGUCUGCAUAACUCUUCUACUUGGACUGAGCUACUUUCAGUCUAUCUCGAAUCAACUUAACAUUCUCUUCUGACUCCUUGAUCACAUUUGGUCCAAACAACUGACGGUCUCCAACUUCAUCCCACAUACUCUUGGGGCAUCACACAUAUCGAGACAAAACCCAUAUUCAUUUUAUCUGAAAUCCACUCAGUGGAGUAUCCUUAUCUUUUCCAGGGGUCAAUGGUUCUUACAGGGUACUACCACCCUUAAAAUGCACAAAUCUUCCAUAGACCAUAUUUCUCAUAUCCUCAGAAUGGCCAAAAUUCUUCUUCAUAGAGUAACAACUAAUAAAAUCCAUAUCAGUACUAACGAUGCUAAUUUAUUCAUUCUCAAGUGAUUACCAUCUCUCGCUUUUCCAUUGCAUGUCUCAACUCAACACCUCAAUAUAAAAGAAAAUUGUUCUCACUUCUACUACUCCAUUUCUUUUGUUGCAAACUCAACUAUCUAGCACAUGUUUCCUUCUCCUUGGGGCAUUCUCUGGAAAAGUGCCCUGCUCCAUUACCACUAAAACAUAUUACUUCUGACAAGUAUCGAGGUUUCCUUUUUGGGCAAUUGUUGAGGUAGUGCCCUGACUCCUUGCACCUGUAACAGGUGAUAUGACUUAGGUCCUUCCUGGAAUCCAAUCUGCUUCUCUUCCUGGACCUUUCCAUGCCAAUCAUGGCUUCUAUUUCUUGUGGGUCAUAUUCUACUUCCUUUGUCAGGAAUUCUACUAAAUCCCCAUUCAAACAAUUUUGGGAGAUGUGUCCUUCUUCUCCACAUGAAUAGCAAGACUUAGUGCAGGGUUUACUCGGGUCUUCUUUAGAUGUGUCCUCCAUCUCUUCCUUCAUCACAACUUCUUCUAAAAUUUCCAUGAGGGCUCCUUUCAUUACUUCUUUCUUCUGCUGGAUGGUUCGUUGUACCAUGGGGUAAAUGUGACACUGAGCAGGAUAGUGGGUAGUCCCUUCACAAAAGAAACAAGUAAUCUGCCUAAUUGGGCAUUCUUCAACUGGGUGACUUCCUUCGCAAUUAGGGCAUUCAUCCUUGUGUUCUUUAUGGGUGUGUCCUAUUUCUCCACAAAUCUUGCAUGCACAAGGUUUCUUCAUAUCCUUUCCAUAAGGCUUCAACUUCUGGGACACAAGCCGAGACUUUGGCAAAGUCAACUUAAAUUCUUUCCAAGUGGUUACUCCUUGCCAUCCAUUUAUGGUUUGGUACAUCCUCCACCAAGUAGCAGCACCUCUUUCAAAGCACUGAAGAGCAUGCUGGGUCAUAUCCUUUCCGACUAUAGGGUUAUUCUCCAUAUGAUCUUCCAUGUUCUGAAUCCAUCGGUCUGUCUCCAACUGACUCAUCGGUCCAGAAAAUACAAGCUCAUCUCCAUUAUCCUCUAUUGGGUCCAUGGGUUUGGGGUGAGAUAAGAGAUAUAGAGAGGGAUACACACAAUACAAACAAAAGUUUUGAAAAGACAUAUUUUAUUUGUGGCUGUCGGGAAAAGCAUCAAACAAAUGAGAGCUCACAAAUGUCGCAUCUAACGUAGGUAUAUAAUAGGGGUUUGGUCUUCCAAAGGUCAAUAAAUCUUCAACGUCUCCAAACUCUUCAAGUCUUGUUCAAGCCUCCAAUGGCUUCUUCCGAUGAUGCUUGUCCUUCUCAAGUUCUUUUGCCAAAUCAACUCUUAUGACGCGAAGUCUCUCAUGACGUCCUUUAAUAUUCUGGAGUUGCGUUCCAAACUUCUGGUUUCAACAUCCUUCGCAUGAACCGUGGUCCUACUGUCCUUCAGUUCCUGACAAAUCUCCGGUAUCUCGAGGUUGUAGCUCCUCCAGCUUGGCUACGUUCAGCUUUUGGUUCCUGAGUUCUUCAUGAAAUGCUUCCUUGUCUAAUACGGCUUCAUGGAGCUCCACCUUAAACUUCUUGAUGUACUACUCCAGAUCUUGGUGAUACACCAGCUAAGUUUAAAACUGCAUCCUUUGCUGAUAGAUGCUCCAUCAGCCUUCUACCAUCCAAUCCUUCCGAAGGAAUGCAUGCUUAGCUCAGCUCGGUGACCACAGUAUCAAUGGUGAUGACAUCACGGAUAACCGUGUUUCUGCCCUUGUCAUUGCCAUGAGCUAUCUUGCUAGUUGAUAUCUCCUGCCUUAGGGUUUUCUAGACAAAACUUUGAGUUCUCAACUCUCCAUGCUCCGGUCUUUCUCUGAUACACCUUGAUCUCGGGUAUGGACAACUUCCAUAGUCUGCCAAGUUCCAUAAGGGUAGCCUUCCUAGGUCAUAAAAAUCUGGAGAUUCUUUAGAGCCUUCAAAUUCUCCUAGUCUUCGGAGUCUUCAACCACUGUAGUUUCCAUUAUCAUAAUGCACGGUAAAAUCUUCUUCAUUCCGUAGUCGUCUUAGUUGUCCAAUAUCUUGUACUUCUUGAAGUGGUCUCAUCAGUCGAAUCUUCGAGUGGUCAAAGGGGAAAGGGGUAUAGUCUCACUAAAAGGGAAUUUUUGAAUAAGCUCAGAAGAGAGGUAAAAGAUUUUUUUUAAAGGGAAAGUUGUAGAGAAAAAAUCUUUGCUAUGGGCUUGCCAGUUUCUAGGGUCACGUCCUACAGUCAACAUGUGCUCUGAUACCAUCUUGUAGCGACCCGACCCGAAUGGGUCAAGUCUCUGGGCUUAAGUGUCAUCCCUGGAUCGGUAUGCUGACACACACAGUACUCGAGGAUUUAUAACAGAGGUAAAUCACAUGUAAAAGUAACGUAAAUACUAUUACCUCAAAUCCAAAAUAGCGGAAGUAACAAGGUUGUGGAUUCCCAUCAACACCAACGGCAAAGUUGAGUGUAGAAAUCAUAACCCUAACGUAUCACUUACUCGUCGUAAGAUAAUCCUGCAACAUGAGACGUUGCAGCCAUAGAGGGUCAGUACAUUGAAUGUACUGGCAAAUUCACACCAUAGAGAAUGAUGAAUAAAGGCUAUCACUACAUGCAUAUUUGGCUGGUGGAAAAGCUCUAUGGUUAUAAGGUUUUUGCGAAAAGCCAAUUUUUCCCUACUACAAAGGAAUACAUUUUAAUUAACUAUCAUGGUGGUUGUUGAACAUUGAGAAUGGUUGACAGCAUUCUCAAUCCCAAUUAAGUAACAUCAUUAAACCCAACAAUAUUCAUUUAAAGUAACGUGAUGAGAUCAACAGGAUAAUCCAAGAACUAGAUACUCAAGACGUCCAUAACCGGGGACACGGCUAAUCAUGAUUAGUUUAUACACUCUGCAGAGGUUUGCGCACUUUUCCCCACAAGACUCGAUCUCCUCCGUUGGUUUUCUCGCACUACAUGGUGUUUGAGAAACGGAUGACCGAGACAUAGCCUUUCAGAAGCGCUAGCAGCUUACGUUGGAUAGACCGGUACACCUACUUUCCCCUACAUCUGCUAGUCUACCCUGUAAGAGUUCGCACGACUUAAUCAACUAUGCCAAAGCCCAUAAUGGCUUGUGGCUGCACACGGAAGUUUCUAGUAUGAAUAAUCUCAUGAUCCCUUUGAGCCUGGGUGGCGGACCGUAGGAUGAUCACACGAUAUAUCCCCGGGAUCUCCUAGGACAACACUGGUAUAUCCCCAGGUGUCUGGGCAAGUCCACUGGUAUAUCCCCAGGGUGCCCCUAGCAAUCCACCCAGAUGUGUAUUCAAGUUGCCACCUUAAGUUGAACCAUUAAAUAACAAUCUCACAUCUGUCAUGGAUUUCACUCAUACCCAAACCACGUCUACGAGCAUAGCAUGGCAAUAUAAGCAUAACGUAAAAGUAACUCCCAAGGUUUGAAUGCAGGGCAAUAGGUUCCUACCUCAUCAACUACUUCCCAAUACCCACAAUUUAAUUAGAUCCUAAUCAUGCAAUGUUUGAGGUUUGAUCUAAUGCAAUAAAAACUGGGUAUGAAAGAGGUAUGAUCAAAGUGUGAACUUGCCUGCAAUGUUGAUGAAGAUGACUCGCACUCAAAACUCUUGAUAGUUCUACUCUUCACACUCCGGUCAAUCUAUCGUAAGCAAGCAAUAGUAACCACACAUAAGCAAUCACUCCAAAGAUCAGAAAGAACGAAGAAGACGAUUCGGAAACAUCAAAACCAAGCAAAUAACUCUUGCAAGAUAAAACAAUUUCUAACAGUACCAAAAUUAUGUGAAUUUGGCCUUAUUAGAAUGUUUAGGUCAAGAGCUUCGAUUUGCAAAAAGAAUCAACUCAAACGGAGCUACGAAACUCAAGUUAUGAUCAAACGAAGUUUGAAUUCAAAUCUGAUCUAAUUUAAAUUUUGAACUUGUCAAAAACAUGUUUGAGUUGGAUUAAUGGAUAGAGGGGAUCAUAACGAAGACGUGGGCGUUGGUUUCGUUGGAUUUGGAUAAACGAGUAAAAAGAUGUGGUCGUUUGAAGUAUAGGGACUAAUUUGUAAAUAAACUAUUCACAAACGGGUCCCUGGCCGAAAAAUAAAAAAGAAAAAGAAAAAAACUAAAUAACGAACGUUUGCUACCGAACGCUAAUGAACGAACCUGUUCACUGCAGAAGCUAACAUAGCGAACGUUUACUAAUUAAAGAAAACGUUUCGUGGAAAAAAACAAAGCGAUCUGGAUCGUUGGAUCCAGAUCCGACGACGAGGGAGGCGGCGGUUACCGCGACGAUCGCCGGAGUUCGGGAAGACGGCGGCAGCGGCCUCGGACGGGGACGGGGCGGCGGCUCCGGUGGCUCUCCGGCUCGGGCGUCACCACCAGAAGGAGCGGGGCGACGAGGCGGAGACGAGGGAGGCGGCAGCUCCGGUCGAGGGCGACGUGACGGUGCGGGGCGACGGCGGCGGAUCUCGUCGGAGUUCGGUCUCCGGCGAGGUUUGUGCAAGGCUGCGGGAGGCGAUGGCGGUUCCGGUUGGAGGAAAAAGAGGCCGGGGUCCGGGGCGGCUCUAUUUAUGGAGGAGAGGGGCGGCGAGAUGCGUGGAGGAGGGGGCAAGAAGAGGCCGGCGGCGGCACGGAGGCGACGGUGAUGGCGUCGCGGCUCGGGACUCCGUCUCGAGCUCGGGGACGAGCGGCAUGGGCUAGCUGGGCUGGGCCGCGGCCUGGCAGGAGCUGGGCCGGCCCAGUCGGUGAGGGAAGUUCUUUUUUUUUAAACAUUAUUUUCGAGACAAAUAAAAUAAUAAAAGCAAAAUAAUUAAAAAUAUUAUAUAGGCAUAUAAUAUAUCAAAAUUUUCAGAAAAAGAUUUUCUACGACAUGAACAUUUUUAUAACUUCAAAUAAAAUCCACACAAAUUCAGAUAAAUCAAAGAGUGCUACUGGUCUAUUAAAAUCCAACUAAAAUCAUUUUAAAAAAUACCAAAAUGAUUUCAAAUUAAUUUUUCUCCAAUUUUAUAAUGUAGGGAAUCAUGUUACCCUAUUUUCCAUAUAUUUUAUUUUUGGAGAAAAAUAAUUUGAAUAAAACUCAAAAAAUCCAAAUUGAAAAUUAAUUCCAAAAGGACUUGAAAUUGAUCCUUUGAAACUCCCAACUCAUAUUUCAUAAUUUGAAGAAGUCAUUUUAUCUUCUCUCAUGAAAAUCAUUGAGUUGCAUAAAGUUUCUGAAUUGGAAAAAUAUUUCCCAAUGGAAUUCAAAUAUUUUUCAAACACCCUUUUCAUUUUAAAUGGAAGAAGUCAUGUCAUCUUCUCUCUAGGGUUUUGUGUUGAAAAGAAUUUGAAUUCAUGGAGAUCAGAAAGCAAAUAUGAAAGUUUGGGAAAGUCCUUUUAUUCCCUCUCAUUUAACUUUCAAAAGUUUCGAAUUCACUCACUUUUAGACAAUCAAUCAAACAAUCAAUCAAAUCUAUCUAUUUAUUAUAACAUUCCAAAAUUUAGAAUUUUGGGAUGUUACACUUGGUCAUCCAUUUCUCAAACACCAUGUAGUGCGAGAAUCCCAACAGAGGAGAUCGAGUCUUGUGGGGAAAAGUGCGCAAACCUCUGCAGAGAGUAUAAACUAAUCAUGGUUAGCCGUGUCCCUGGUUAUGGACAUCUUGAGUAUCUAGUACUUGGAUUAUCAUAUGAAUCUCAUCAUGUUACUAUAAUUAAUUUGUUGGGUUUUAUUAAUGAUGUGUAAUUGGUAUUGAGAGAGUGUCUACACUCUCAAUGUUUAACAACCACCAUGGUAGUUAAAUAAAAUUUAUUCCUUUGCAGUAGGGAAUAAUUGGCUUUACGCAAAACUGUAACCAUAGAGCUUUCCACCAGCCAAAUAUGCAUGUAGUAUAGCCUUAUUCUUUCAUUGCUCUCUAUGUGUUACAUUGCCAGCAUAUUCCAUGUGCUGACCCGUUUCGGGCUGCAACGUUCAUGUUGCAGACUUUUCAGAUGAUGUGUAAGGUGCUUUUAGGUCGUGGUUCUAUACUCAGUGAUGCCGUUGGAGUUGAUGGACUCACUUAUCUUCCAAGCCUUCCGCUGUUAUUGUUAUUAGAUGGCCUUAAGCCAUAUUUAUUGUAAUAAGUUCUCUUUUGAGACUCGAUGUAAUAAGUGUGUGAUUGCUACUCUGUUAUAAAUCCUUCAAGUACUGUGUGGUGUCAGCAUUACUGAUCCAGGGAUGACACCGGAGCACAGAGAUUGGACCGUUUGAGGUCUGGUUGCUACAAGAUGGUAUCAGAGCACACGCUGACUGUAGAACACGACCACUAAGCUAAAGCCCUAGAUCACUACUCACUCUUCUCAUUCUGAAUCCUCAUCUUUUCUACUCUUUUAGGAUGGUAGAUGCAAGGAACAAGUUCACGCAACUGGAUGAAGAUACACCCUUUGGACGUCACUUAAAGGAAGUCACUAGAUACCUGAACAUAGGAGUACCAAGCUUCACCGAGACUCACAACGCCAUUUUACCUGAAGAAGAGCGCUGGAUGAUUCAAGUUCAAGUUCCAGGAAGGACGUUCAUGCCAGUCACUGAGCCCAUAGAGUUUUCUUUUGACGCACCAACCUGGAGUCUAGGAAAGAGCAUGGCAGCUCACAUCGCCAUGGGACGCAUUGGAGAAGUUUACCACAAUGAUCUCAAGGAUACUAUCUACCAGAUUUGUGGGCGCCGAGAUGAGCACUGGGAGAUGAUCAGCACCAGGAAGGAUAGAUCAAUUGCAGCUUUUAUCUAGGAGUUAAACCAGCACAUUCGACAUCACGAGAACCAGAUGUGCGCCGACAUGAUAGAUCUGAAGAAGGCAAGGACAAGAAUCAAGGAACUGGAGGAAGAACUCAAGGCUACCCGUGAAGAUUAUGAAGAGGAAAUCGAAGUAUUAGUGGAGAAGAAUGACGAUCUGAUCAAGAAGAUUGGAAUAUUUAUGGGAGGCCCUGCACCAGUAGAAGAAGACGAAGAACCCAAGGAGAUUCGCCCGGAAGACUACAUCAUCAUCGACGACACCGACUCGCAUCCGGAUGAUAGCGAUGAUGACUAUGUUGAUGAAGCUGGAGCAAAUAUCAUGGAGUCUGCAACCGAAGAAUAUUUCUAGUAGACCACCCCAUUAGUAGUAGUAUUCCACCAUGUAAAUAUAGUAGUCCAAGCACUUUUGCGAUAGUUAGAUCGAUUGUAUGCUCUUGUUUGAUUGAAUGAAGUGAAUUGUUUGCUUUUGCCUCAUGUGCAUAUGGGUAGUGUUUGCUCUCUAGACCCCUCUCUAUUCUUAAUCUCAUCUUUUGUAAACCCUUAGAUACCUCCGUGACGUGACCCCGGAUUUACCUUCCCACUAGAGCUCACCCAGUUGAUCCAGCAGCAGAACACAUUGAUGCAGAUGCUAGUCCAGAAUCAGAAUCAGGAGAACAACAACAACAACCCACCACCACCACCACCUGUUGAUCACUUAGCCCGUUUUCUUAGGCUAAAUCCGCCGGUGUUUUCCAGUAGCACCGAGCCGAUAGUAGCAGAUGAUUGGCUCCGCAAGACAGCAAGGGAGUUGACCACAGCAGGAUGCACAGAUGCGGAAAAGGUGAAGUUUGUCGCACAUCAGCUUGAAGGACUCGCAACAUCAUGGUGGGAGAAUUUCACCGCCACUUUCCCUAUUGACACUGUCACAUGAGACCAGUUCCAGCAGGCUUUCCGUACUACCCAUGUUUCAGCAGGAGCUAUGGCCAUGAAGAAGUGAGAGUUUCACAACUUGCACCAAGGAGGAUGGACAGUUGGCCAGUAUGUGGAGGACUUUAGUAAGCUAGCACGUUAUGCCCCAGAUGACGUUGCUACGGAUGCAGCUAAGCAGGGGAAGUUUCUGGAAGGACUGAAUGAUGAGUUGAGCAUGCAGUUGAUGGUAGCAACCUUCAACAACUACCAGGAGUUGGUAGAUCGUGCUCUCAUGAUUGAAGGGAAGCAACAUCAGAUUGAGAAUUGCAAGAGGAAGUAUGGCCAAGGAAAGUACAAUUCAGGAGCUCAAGAGAAGCCACGUUUUACCCCUAGACUGGGAAGUCAUUUUCAGCAUACCCAUGGAGGAAGUAGCUCGCACAAUCAUAAUGGCACCAAGAAUGGUAAUGGGAAUGGAGGAAGCAACGGCCAGAACCGUACCAACCCAUCAACCCCAGUCAAGAGAGACCUGAGCCAAGUCACUUGCUUUAAGUGCCAGAAGACCGGACAUUAUGCCAAUGAAUGUCCUGAAUCCCAGAAUGGAAAUGGCAAUGGAAGCUCUGGGAAGAAGCCGAACCCUUUCAAUAGGGGACAAGUGAACCACAUUAACGUGGAGGAUGUUGAAGAGCAGAUGGAUGCAGUAAUCGGUAGGUUUUUGGUUAAGUCAUUUACUGCACUCAUUCUUUUCGAUACUGGUGCAUCGCAUUCAUACAUAUCAAUGGGAUUUGUGGAUAAGUAUAACCUGCCCACCAAAGUUCUUAGAACACCCAUGUUAGUAAGCUCACCAGGAGCGGAGUAUAUGGCUAGUAAAGGAUGUUUUCAAGUGCCGUUGAGUAUAGGUAGGCAUGUGUUUCCCUUGGAUUUGAUCAUUUUGGAAUCACAAGGUUUGGAUGUAAUUCUGGGUAUGGAUUGGCUGUUAAUGUAUGGAGGAAACAUCAAUUGCGCUAGUAAGUCAAUUUUGCUUACCACCCCAGAAGGAAGAAGGAUCAAGUAUGUAUCCCGGCAUGUGCCCAAAAGGACUCAAGUAAAUUCGUUAACAUGAGUUGUGCAGGAGGAAGUACCAAUAGUAAAGGAUUUCCCUGAUGUAUUUCCAGAAGAGUUGCCAGGCAUGCCACCGGAUAGAGAUAUUGAGUUUUUAAUUAAGCUUUUGCCAGGCACAGGGCCAAUAUCUAAGAGACCAUAUAGGAUGCCCGCAAAGGAUUUGGAGGAGAUUAAGAAGCAGAUGAAGGAGUUACUGGAUAAAGGUUAUAUUCUCCCAAGUUCUUCGCCUUGGGAAUCGCCAGUACUUCUGGUGGAGAAAAAGGAUGGAUCGUUAAGGAUGGUUGUUGAUUAUCGAGGAUUGAAUGAAGUAACCAUCAAGAACAAGUACCCACUACCGAUGAUCGAUGAUCUGUUUGAUCGAUUGCAAGGAGCUAAGGUAUUUUCCAAGAUCGAUCUGCGAUCAGGAUACCAUCAGUUGAAGAUUCGAGAACAGGAUAUACCUAAGACGGCUUUUACCACCAGGUAUGGGAUGUACGAGUAUACCGUUAUGUCAUUUGGUCUGCUAACGCACCUGCCUAUUUUAUGAACAUGAUGAACAAAGUGUUUAUGGAGUUUUGGAUAAGUUUGUUGUAGUGUUAAUUGAUGAUAUCCUGGUUUACUCGAAGAAUGAAGAGGAGCAUAAGGAGCAUUUGUGUUUGGUACUUGGGAAGCUCAGAGAACAUCAGUUAUAUGCCAAGGCAAAUGUGAGUUUUGGUUAAAGGAAGUUGGAUUUCUCGGACACGUUAUAUCCGGAGAAGGUAUAGCAGUAGAUCCCACCAAGGUUGACACUGUGACAAAUUGGGAAGCCCCAACAACAGUUGGAGAGAUCCGGAGUUUUCUUGGACUUGCAGGAUACUACCGAAGAUUCAUUGAAAAUUUCUCGAAGAUUGCGAAGCCUAUGACGGAGUUGUUGAAAAUGGAUACCAAGUUCACAUGGACCGAAUAAUGUGAGGCCAGUUUCUAGGAGUUGAAGAAACGUUUGGUUACAACACCAGUGUUGAUUUUGCCAGAUCAGACCAAGGAUUAUGAGGUGUAUUGCGACGCUUCACGUCGAGGACUUGGAGCAGUGAUUAUGCAGGAAGGAAGAGUUGUUUCCUAUGCCUCACGACAGCUUAAGCCUCAUGAGUUAAAUUAUGCCACACAUGAUUUGGAGUUAGCAGCUGUAGUGCAUGCAUUGAAGACUUGGAGAAACUUUCUCAUUGGAAAUCACUGUGAGGUGUACACGGAUCAUAAGAGUUUGAAGUAUAUUUUCACGCAGAAGGAGUUGAAUCUCAGGCAAAGGAGAUGGUUGGAGCUCAUCAAGGAUUAUGAUAUGAGAUUGCAUUAUCACCCUGGAAAGGCUAACGUAGUAGCUGACGCGUUGAGCCGUAAAAGCCGUGUCAACACCUUAAUGAUGGGAGAUUUACCAAGAGAGUUAGCCGAAAAUCUUCGUGAGCUAUGUUUGGAGAUAGUCCCGAGAGGCUAUGUAGCAGCAUUGGAGAUUCAGUCUACUUUGAUGGAUAAGAUCAGAGAAGCCCAGAAGACUGACAAGGAGAUUGCCUCUAUUAGGGAGAAAAUGAGUAAAGAAAAGCUAAAGGAUUUCGUGAGGAUGAGCACGAUACCUUAUGGUUUGAAGACCGUGUUUAUGUGCCCAAUGACCCGGAGAUCAGAAAGUUAAUUCUGCAAGAGGCCCAUGAUUCACCAUAUUCGAUUCACCCAGGAAAUACUAAGAUGUAUUUGGAUUUGAAGGAUACUUUCUGGUGGACCGAAAUGAAGAAGGAUAUUGCGGAGUAUUGUAGCGACCCGACCCGAAUGGAUCAAGUGCUCUGUGCUCAGGUGUCAUCCCUGGAUCAGUAAUGCUGACACCACACAGUACAUCAAAGGAUUUAUAGCAGAGUGGCAAUCACACACUUAUUACAUUGUUGUCUCAAAGAGAACUUUUACAAUAAAUAUGGCUUAAGGCCAUCUAAUAACGAUAACAGCGGAAGACUCGGAAGAUAGAUGGGUCCAUCAACUCCAACGGCAUCACUGAGUAUAGGGCCACGACCUAAAAGCACCUUACUCGACGUCUGAAAAGUCUGCAACAUGAGAAGUUGCAGCCCAAAAACGGGUCAGCACAUGGAAUAUGCUGGCAAUGUAACACAUAGAGAGUAAUGGAAUGAAACAGCUAUACUAUAUGCAUAUAUGGUUGGUGGAAAGCUCUCUGGUUACAGUUUUGCGUAAAGCCAGUUUUUCCCUACUGCAAAGGAAUAAAUUUGUUUAACUAUCAUGGUGGUUGUUAAACAUCGAGAAUGGUUGACAGCAUUCCGAUCCCAAUUAAGUGAACAGUUAAAACCCAACAACAUUAAUUAGAAGUAACAUGAUGAGAUUCACAUGAUAUUCAGGUACUAGAUACUCAAGUUGUCCAUAACCGGGGACACGGCUAAUCAUGAUUAGUUUGUACACUCUGCAGAGGUUUGCGCACUUUUCCCCACAUGACUCGAUCGCCUCCGUUUGUUUUCUCGCACUACAUGGUGUUUGAGAAACGGAUGACCGAGACAUAGUCUUUCAGAAGCACUAGCACCUUACAUGUGGGGUAGACCGUACCACCUACAACCCCUACAUCUGCUAGUCCAUCCCGUGAGAGUUCGCACAACUUAGUCAACUAUGCCAGAGCCCAUAGUAGCAUGUGGCUGCACACGGAAUUUUCUAGCAUGAAUGAUCUUAUGAUCCCUUUGAGCCUGGGUGGCGGUCCAAAAUAAAACAGGCAAGUCCUGAUAGACAUCGGGUGCCUCAAUCCAACCAGAUGCGUGUUUAAGUUGCCACCUUAGAUAAACCAUUAAAAUUAGCAACUCACAUCUGUCAUGGAUAUCACUCACCCAAUCCACGUCUACUAGCAUAGCAUGGCAUAAUAAGCAAACGUAGAAGUAACUCCCAAAGGUUUCAUAAUAAUACAGGUGAUAGGUACUACCUCAUCUACUUCCCAUCCCACAGUUUAAUUAGAUCCUAAUCAUGCAAUGUGAGAGGAUUGAUCUAAUGCAAUAAAACAUGGGUUGUAGAAAAGGUAUGAUCAAAGUGUUACUUGCCUUGCUGAUGAUCCGCGAGACCUAGGGUUUCGAAGUAACAAGCGGCGCAAUCCGGGUGAUCUAUCACAGACAAACAACAAGCACACAAUAAGUACUCAUCUAAUGCACAGGUAAAACUCAAACAAGAGAACGAACCAGGAAGUUCAACUUAAGAACUCCGGUUGCAAAGAAAGAACGAACCGAACAAAGAAACGGAAAACAAACGGCGGAAAAAAACAACUCGGUUCUAGCAAGUUGAAACUAGGUCAAAUUUUACCGGGGCAAAAACUUGUUUAAGUUGAUUAGAUGGAACGGCGGUUUCGAAAUGAAACUCCAGGCGCUUGAAUCACCUGAUUCCGAUAAACAAGCGAGAAGAAAGACUAGAACAAAGAUCGGAUGUGAGAUCGCGAUCGCGGAAUAAAUCCGACGAAAAGAAAGAGACGAACGGUUAAACGAACGGGCGUCGUUAACCGGGGAAUAACCGGUGAUCACGUUCGUGGAGACGAACGGUCCGAAAGAAGAACGAAAACCGAUCUAGGGUUUUUGGAAAAGAAACCGAAAAAGAAACGGAAAACCGAUCUAGGGUUUCGGAAGAAAACCGAAACAAAGAACCGGAAAAGAAACGGAAAAGAAACGGAACAGUUCUUUUAAAGAAAAACCGAACCGGGGAAUAGAAAAAGAGGCGCGGUGCGGGGCUACCUCCGGCGAGGCGGAACUCCGACGGCGGCGAGGCAAGAGCGGCGGCGGCGGCUAUAGGCGCGGGGCGGCGCGGCUAAGGCGGCGGCUUGGGGCUGCGCGCUGCUGCUUGGUGCGGCUUAGGAGGAGAGGGGCUUGGGGUUUUGAUUUGAUGUUUUGGAGGGGGGUGUGGGGCUAUUNNNNNNNNNNNNNNNNNNNNNNNNNNNNNNNNNNNNNNNNNNNNNNNNNNNNNNNNNNNNNNNNNNNNNNNNNNNNNNNNNNNNNNNNNNNNNNNNNNNNNNNNNNNNNNNNNNNNNNNNNNNNNNNNNNNNNNNNNNNNNNNNNNNNNNNNNNNNNNNNNNNNNNNNNNNNNNNNNNNNNNNNNNNNNNNNNNNNNNNNNNNNNNNNNNNNNNNNNNNNNNNNNNNNNNNNNNNNNNNNNNNNNNNNNNNNAAAGGAAAGAGGGGGGGGGGUUACGGUGGCCAGAGUCCCGCUGGGACUCGGCUCGAGCGAGAGGCGGCGGCCUAGGGCGCUGGCGCCUGGCGCCUGGCGCGCGCGGGGCUGGGGCCUGGCCGGCCGGCCUGCUAGCUGGGCCUUGGCCCAAGGCGCUGCGGUUUUUUUUAAACGGUUACGCGCGCAGAAAAACAAAAGAAAAACUAUCUAAACGGACUCCGAAAAUCCUAAAGUAAAUUUUCCCCGACUCCUAAAAAUGAGUCGAACAAAAUGAACUUUUCUCCGGGCCUAAAAUGCAAUUUUCGAAAACACGCAUUUUUCCCUAUCCAAAUAAAAAGCAAACAAAACUCUGGCAAAACCAAAAUUUGAUUUAUUCAUUAAAUCUUCAUUUUUUCUUAAAUUUGGGAAAGUCAUAUUAUUCCCUCUCUCAUUAUUUUUGAUAUUGGAAAAAUAAUUUAAGAUGAAAUAAAUAAAUCAGAUGAUCCUCUUUUCAAAAUUUGAGAAAACUCAAAUAUGAAAAUAACGAAAUCUCCAACUCUCUCCGAGGGUCCUUGAGUUGCGUGAAAUUUCUAGGAUCGGGCAAAAUGCAAGAAAAUAUGACAUGCAUGAUGAUCUAAUGUAUAACAUUCCAAAUUGAAAAUUUGGGAUGUUACAAACCUACCCCCCUUAAGAUGAAUCUCGCCCUCGAGAUUCAGGUUGGCUAGAAAAUAGGUGAGGGUGGUCCUUGAGCAAAUCUUCUUCUCUCUCCCAGGUGGCUUCAUCCUCUGAGUGGUGGUUCCACUGAACUUUGCAAAACUUGAUAACCUUGCUGCGAGUAACUCUGCUGGCAUAAUUGAGAAUCUUGACUGGCUUCUCCUCAUAUGUUAAGUCGUCCUUCAACUGAAUCGCUUUGAGUGGCACGGUAUCUCUUAGCGGUACCUCCGCCAUCUCGGCAUGACAUUUCUUCAGCUGAGAAACAUGGAAUACAUCAUGAACUCCUGAUAGUCCCUCUGGUAAUUCCAACUUAUAAGCGACUUCUCCCAUACGUUGCAAGAUCUUGUACGGUCCAACGAAACGCGGUGCUAACUUUCCCUUAACUCCAAAGCGCUUAACUCCUCGAAGUGGGGAUACUCGAAGAUAAACUCUGUCUCCGGUUUCGUAAACUGUCUCCUUGCGUUUAGAAUCUGCGUAGCUCUUCUGCCUGGACUGGGCUACCUUGAGCCUAUCACGAGUCAACUUAACUUUCUGUUCAGACUCCUUAAUCAAAUCUGGUCCAAAGAAUUGACGGUCUCCAACUUCGUCCCAUGACAAUGGUGUCCUGCACCUCCUUCCGUAUAAAGCUUCGAAAGGUGCCAUCUUCAAACUGGUUUGGUAACUGUUGUUAUAAGAAAACUCCGCAUACGGCAAGUUAUCGUCCCAACUAGAUCCAUAAUCUAGUGCACAAGCUCUCAGCAUAUCCUCCAAAAUCUGAUUGACUCUCUCGGUCUGUCCAUCCGUCUGCGGAUGAAAAGCUGUGCUGAACUCUAGUCUGGUUCCUAAAGUUUCAUGCAACUGAUUCCAAAACUUUGAGGUAAAUUGGGUUCCUCUAUCUGAUACGAUACUCCUCGGAACUCCAUGCAAACAAAUGAUCCUAGUCAUGUAUAUCUUCGCCAACUUAGCACUAGUGUAAGUGGUCUUAACUGGGAUAAAAUGUGCUACCUUUGUCAAACGAUCAACUACUACCCAUAUCGAGUCAUAGCCUGCUUUCGUCCUGGGUAGUCCCGUGAUAAAAUCCAUGCCUAUCUUAUCCCACUUCCAUUCGGGUAUCGGCAAUGGUUGUAACAAUCCUGCUGGCUUCUGAUGCUCUGCCUUUACUCUCUGACAUACGUCACAAACUGCUACAUAUGCUGCAAUAUCCUUCUUCAUUCCGGUCCACCAGAAUGUUUCCUCCAAAUCCAAAUACAUCUUGGUAUUCCCUGGGUGAAUCGAAUACGGUGAAUCAUGUGCCUCUUGCAAAAUCAACUUCCUGAUCUUCGGGUCAUUUGGCACAUAAACACGGUCCUCAAACCAUAGGGUAUCGUGCUCAUCCUCACGAAAUCCCUUUGCUUUUCCUUCACUCAAUUUCUCUUUUAUAGCAGCAAUCUCCUUGUCAGAUUUCUGAGCUUCUCUGAUCUUAUCCAUCAAUGUUGACUGAAUCUCCAAUGUUGCUACAUACCCUCUCGGAACUAUUUCCAAACAUAGCUCACGAAGGUUUUCUGCUAACUCCUUUGGUAUUUUCCCCGUCACUAGGGUGUUGACGUGGCUCUUAUGGCUCAAUGCGUCAGCUACUACAUUAGCUUUUCCGGGAUGGUAAUGCAAUCUCAUGUCAUAAUCCUUGAUGAGCUCCAACCAUCUCCUUUGUCUGAGGUUCAACUCCUUCUGCGUGAAAAUGUACUUCAAACUCUUGUGAUCCGUGUACACCUCACAAUGAUUUCCAAUGAGGAAAUGUCUCCACGUUUUCAAUGCAUGCACUACGGCUGCUAACUCCAAAUCAUGCGUGGCAUAAUUCAACUCAUGAGGCUUCAGUUGUCGUGAAGCAUACGAAACAACUCUUCCUUCCUGCAUAAGCACUGCUCCAAGUCCUCGACGUGAAGCGUCGCAAUACACCUCAUAAUCCUUGGUCUGAUCUGGCAAAAUCAAUACUGGUGAGGUGACCAAACGUUUCUUUAACUCCUGGAAACUAGCCUCACACUCCUCAGUCCAUUUGAACUUAGUAUCCUUCUUCAACAACUCCGUCAUAGGCUUCGCAAUCUUUGAGAAAUUCUCAAUAAAUCUCCGGUAGUAUCCUGCGAGUCCAAGAAAACUCCGGAUCUCUCCAACUGUUGUUGGUGCUUCCCAUUCAGUUACGGUCUCAACCUUUGUGGGGUCAACUACUAUACCCUCUCCAGAUAUAACGUGUCCGAGGAAUCCAACUUCCUUUAACCAAAACUCGCAUUUGCUGAAUUUGGCAUAUAACUGAUGUUCCCUUAGUUUCUCCAAAACCAAACGCAAAUGUUCCUUAUGCUCCUCUUCAUUCUUUGAAUAAACCAGGAUGUCAUCAAUGAACACUACGAUGAACUUAUCCAAAAACUCCAUAAACACUUUGUUCAUCAGGUUCAUAAAAUAGGUAGGUGCGUUAGUCAAUCCAAAUGACAUAACGGUAUACUCAUACAGUCCAUAUCUUGUGGUGAACGCUGUCUUAGGUAUGUCCUGCUCUCGAAUCUUCAAUUGACGGUACCCUGAUCGCAAAUCGAUCUUGGAAAACACUUUAGCUCCUUGCAACCGAUCAAACAGAUCGUUGAUCAUUGGCAGUGGGUACUUAUUCUUGAUGGUUACUUCAUUCAAUCCCCGAUAAUCUACAACCAUCCUUAAUGAUCCAUCCUUCUUUUCCACUAGAAGUACCGGUGAUCCCCAAGGCGAAGAACUUGGGCGAAUGUAACCUUUAUCCAAUAACUCCUUAAUCUGAUUCUUAAUUUCACCAAAUCCUUUGCUGGCAUCCGGUACGGUCGCUUCGAUAUUGGGCCUGUACCUGGCAAUAACUCAAUCAAAAACUCAAUGUCUCUAUCCGGUGGCAUGCCUGGUAAUUCCUCAGGAAAUACAUCAGGAAAAUCCUUCACCACUGGUACUUCCUCUUGCACAACUCCUGUUAAGCAGUUUACUUGUGUCUUGUUUGGCACAUGCUGGGAUACAUACUUGAUCCUUCUUCCUUCUGGUGUGGUAAGCAAAAUUGUCUUACUAGCACAAUCGAUGUUUCCUCCAUACAUCGACAACCAAUCCAUGCCUAAUAUCACAUCCAAUCCUUGAGAUUCCAAUACUAUUAUGUCUGAGGGAAACACAUAGUUACCAAUCCUUAAUGGUAACCGAUCACACCAUCGUCUAGCCAUAAACUCCGCUCCUGGUGAGCUUACUAACAUGGGUGUCCUAAGAGCUUGGGUUGGCAGGUUAUAUUUAUCCACAAAUCCCCUUGAUAUGUAUGAAUGCGUUGCACCAGUAUCAAAAAGAACGAGUGCGGUAAAUGUCUUAACCAAAAACUUACCGAUUACUGCAUCAGGCUGAUCUUCAACCUCCUCCACAUUAACGUGGUUCACCUGUCCCCUAUUGAAAGGGUUCGGCUUCUUCCCAGAGCUUCCAUUGCCAUUUCCAUUCUGGCCUUCGGGACAUUCAUUGGCAUAAUGUCCGGUCUUAGAACACUUGAAACAGGUGACUUGACUCAGAUCUCUCUUGGUUGGGGUCGAUGGGAUGGUACAGUUCUGGCCGUUGCUUCCUCCAUUACCAUUCUUGUGGCCAUUAUGGUUGUGCGAGCUACCUCCUCCAUGGGUAUGCUGAAACUGAAAUCCUGGUUUAGGGGCAAAACGGGGCUUCUGCUGGGCUCCAGAGUUAUACUUCCCCUGUCCAUACUUCCUCUUGCGGUUCUCAAUUUGCUGCUGCUUUCCUUCAAUCAUGAUGGCACGAUCUACCAACUCCUGGUAGUUGUUGAAACUUGCUACCAUCAAUUUCAUGCUUAGUUCAUCAUUCAGUCCUUCCAGGAAUUUCUCCUGCUUAGCUGCAUCCGUAGCAACAUCAUCUGGGGCAUAACGUGCUAGCUUACUAAACUCCUCCAGAUACUGGCCAACUGUCUGUCCUCCUUGGCGCAAGUUACGAAACUCACGCUUCUUCAUGGCCAUAGCUCCUGCUGAAACAUGGGCAGUGCGGAAAGCUUGCUGAAACUGAUCCCAUGUGACAGUGUCAACUGGGUAAGUGGUUGUGAAAUUCUCCCACCAUGCUGCCGCGGGUCCGUCAAGCUGGUGAGCGGCAAACUUCACUUUUUCACCAUCCGUGCAUCCUGCAGUGGUCAACUCCCUUCCUAUCUUGCGGAGCCAAUCGUCUGCUACUAUUGGCUCGGUGCUACUGGAAAACACCGGCGGAUUCAGCCUAAGGAAACGGGCUAAGUGGUCAACAGGUGGUGGUGGGUUGUUGUUGUUCUGCUGGUUCAGGACUAACAUCUGCAUCAAUUGAUUCUGUUGCUGGAUCAACUGAGUGAGCUCCGGUGGGAAUCCAUUGUCACGUCUCGGAGGCAUCUGAGGGUUUUAGAAAAGACGAGAAUUAAGAAUAGAAUGAGGUCUAAAGGGAAAACACUACCCCAAUGCACAUGAGCAAAUGCACACAAAAUCACUUCAUUCAAUCAAACAAGGGCUUACAAUCGGUCUAAAACUAUCGCAAAAGUGCUCGAACUAUAAUGUUUACAGGGGGGGGGGGGAAUGCUACUACUAUCUGGUGGUCAUCUAGAAAUUUGAACCGGUGGAAGACUCCAUGAUAUCUGCUCCAGCUUCGUCUUCAAAGUCGGGUUCACUUGGAUCCGAAUCGGUGUCGUCGAUGAUGAUGUAGUUGUCUGGACAUGCGACGUACUCGUCUUCCUCCGUGGAUGCUAACUUCCUCUUGAGUUCUUCAAUCUCCUGCUUAAGAUCGCCAUUGUGCCUUGCUAGAGCUACGAUCUCGUCCAUGUAGUCCUUGCGUGUAGACUUCAGUUCUCCUUCUAGCUCGAUGAUCCUUGCCUUUGCAUUCUUCAACUCUAUCAUAUCAUUGCACAUCUGGUUCUCGUGGCGUCGAAUGUGUUGGUUUAACUCCUGGAUGAAAGAUGCAAUGGAUCUAUCCUUCUUGGUGCUGACUAACUCCCAUUGUUCAUCUCGGCGUCCGCAAAUCUGGUAGAUAGUGUCCUUGAGGUCUUCUUGGUAAACUUCUCCAAUGCGUCCUAUGGUGAUAUGAGCUGCCAUGCUCCUUCCCAGACUCCAGGUUGGUGCAUUGAAAACACUAUCUAUGGGCUUCGUGAUUGGUGCGAAUGUCCUUCCCGGAACGUGAGUUUGAAUCUUCCAGCGCUCCUCUUCAGGCAGAGUGGCGUUGAAGGUUCCCGUGAAGCUUGGUAAUCCAAUGUUCAGGUACUUGGUGACUUCCUUCAGGUGAAAUCCAAAUGGUGUGCCUUCAUCCGGUUGGGCGUACUUAAUCUUCGCGUUCGUCAUCCUAAUAGGGUAGAAAAGAUGAGGAGUUAGAAAAUGAGAAGAGAAUGGUGAUCUAUGGCUUUAACUUAAUGGUCGUGUCCUACAGUCAGCGUGUGCUCUGGUACCAUCUCUGUAGCGACCCGACCCGAAUGGAUCAAGUGCUCUAUGCUCAGGUGUCAUCCCUGGAUCAGUAAUGCUGACACCAUACAGUACAUCGAAGGAUUUAUAGCAGAGUGGCAAUCACACACUUAUUACAUCGUUGUCUCAAAGAGAACUUUUACAAUAAAUAUGCCUUAAGGCCAUCUAAUAACGGUAACAGCGGAAGACCCAGAAGAUAGAUGGGUCCAUCAACUCCAACGUCAUCACUGAGUAUAGGGCCACGACCUAAAAGCACCUUACUCGACGUCUGAAAAGUCUGCAACAUGAGAAGUUGCAGCCCGAAAACGGGUCAGCACAUGGAAUAUGCUGGCAAUGUAACACAUAGAGAGUAAUGGAAUGAAACAGCUAUACUAUAUGCAUAUAUGGCUGGUUGAAAGCUCUAUGGUUACAGUUUUGCGUAAAGCCAGUUUUUCCCUACUGCAAAGGAAUAAAUUUGUUUAACUAUCAUGGUGGUUGUUAAACAUCGAGAAUGGUUGACAGUAUUCCGAUCCCAAUUAAGUGAACAGUUAAAACCCAACAACAUUAAUUAGAAGUAACAUGAUGAGAUUCACAUGAUAUUCAGCUACUAGAUACUCAAGUUGUCCAUAACCGGGGACACGGCUAAUCAUGAUUAGUUUGUACACUCUGCAGAGGUUUGCGCACUUUUCCCCACAUGACUUGAUCGCCUCCGUUUGUUUUCUCGCACUACAUGGUGUUUGAGAAACGGAUGACCGAGACAUAGUCUUUCAGAAGCACUAGCACCUUACAUGUGGGGUAGACCGUACCACCUACAACCCCUACAUCUGCUAGUCCACCUCAUAAGAGUUCGCACAACUUAGUCAACUAUGCCAGAGCCCAUAGUAGCAUGUGGCUGCACACGGAAGUUUCUAGCAUGAAUUAUCUUAUGAUCCCUUUGAGCCUGGGUGGCGGUCCAAAAUAAAACAGGCAAGUCCUGAUAGACAUCAGGUGCCUCAAUCCACCCAGAUGUGUGUUUAAGUUGCCACCUUAGAUAAACCAUUAAAAUUAUCAACUCACAUCUGUCAUGGAUAUCACUCACCCAAUCCACGUCUACUAGCAUAGCAUGGCAUAAUAAGCAAACAUAGAAGUAACUCCCAAAGGUUUCAUAAUAAUACAGGUGAUAGGUACUACCUCAUCUACUUCCCAUCCCACAGUUUAAUUAGAUCCUAAUCAUGCAAUGUGAGAGGAUUGAUCUAAUGCAAUAAAACAUGGGUUGUAGAAAAGGUAUGAUCAAAGUGUUACUUGCCUUGCUGAUGAUCCGCGAGACCUAGGGUUUCGAAGUAACAAGCGGCGCAAUCCGGGUGAUCUAUCGCAGACAAACAACAAGCACACAAUAAGUACUCAUCUAAUGCACAGGUAAAACUCGAACAAGAGAACGAACCAGGAAGUUCAACUUAAGAACUCCGGUUGCAAAGAAAGAACGAACCGAACAAAGAAACGGAAAACAAACGGCGGAAGAAAACAACUCGGUUCUAGCAAGUUGAAACUAGGUCAAAUUUUACCAGGGCAAAAACUUGUUUAAGUUGAUUAGACGGAACGGCGGUUUCGAAAUGAAACUCCAGGCGCUUGAAUCACCUGAUUCCGAUAAACGAGCGAGAAGAAAGACUAGAACGAAGUUCGGAUCUGAGAUCACGAUCGCGGAAUAAAUCCGACGAAAAGAAAGAGACGAACGGUUAAACGAAUGGGCAUCGUUAACCGGGGAAUAAUCGGUGAUCACGUUCAUGGAGACGAACGGUCCGAAAGAAGAACGAAAACCGAUCUAGGGUUUUCGGAAAAGAAACCGAAAAAGAAACGGAAAACCGAUCUAGGGUUUCGAAAGAAAACCAAAACAAAGAACCGGAAAAGAAACCGGAAAAGAAACGGAAAAGAAACGGAACGGUUCUUUUAAGAAAAACCGAACCGGGGAAUAAAAAAAUAGGCGCGGCGCGGGGCUACCUCCGACGAGGCGGAACUCCGACGGCGGCGAGGCAAGAGCGGCGGCGGCGGCUAUAGGCGUGGGGCGGCGCGGCUAUGGCGGCGGCGGCGCGGCUAAGGCGGCGGCUUGGGGCUGUGUGCUGCUGCUUGGUGCGGCUUAGGAGGAGAGGGGCUUGGGGUUUUGAUUUGAUGUUUUGGANNNNNNNNNNNNNNNNNNNNNNNNNNNNNNNNNNNNNNNNNNNNNACGGUGGCCAGAGUCCCGCUGGGACUCGGCUCGAGCGAGAGGCGGCGGCCUGGGGCGCUGGCGCCUGGCGCCUGGCGCGCGCGGGGCUGGGGCCUGGCCGGCCGGCCUGCUGGCUGGGCCUUGGCCCAAGGCGCUGCGGUUUUUUUAAACGGUUACGCACGCAGAAAAACAAAAGAAAAACUAUCUAAACGGACUCUGAAAAUCCUAAAGUAAAUUUUCCCCGACUCCUAAAAAUGAGUCGAACAAAAUGAACUUUUCUCCGGGCCUAAAAUGCAAUUUUCAAAAACGCGCAUUUUUCCCUAUCCAGAUAAAAAGCAAACAAAACUCCGGCAAAACCAAAAUUUGAUUUACUCAUUAAAUCUUCAUUUUUUCCUAAAUUUGGGGAAGUCAUAUUAUUCCCUCUCUCAUUAUUUUUGAUAUUGGAAAAAUAAUUGAAGAUGAAAUAAAUAAAUCAGAUGAUCCUCUUUUCAAAAUUUGAGAAAACUCAAAUAUGAAAAUAACGAAAUCUCCAACUCUCUCCGAGGGUCCUUGAGUUGCCUUGAAAUUUCUAGGAUCGGGAAAAAUGCAAGAAAAUAUGACAUGCAUGAUGAUCUAAUGUAUAACAUUGCAAAUUGAAAAUUUGGGAUGUUACAAGUAUGUAGCAGUUUGUGAUGUAUGUCAAAGAGUAAAGGCAGAGCAUCAGAAGCCAGCGGGAUUGCUACAGCCAUUGCCGAUACCCGAAUGGAAGUGGGAUAAGUUAGGCAUGGAUUUUAUUACAGGAUUGCCCAGAACUCGUUCAGGCUAUGACUCGAUUUGGGUUGUAGUCGAUCGUUUGACAAAGGUAGCUCAUUUCAUUCCAGUAAAGACUACUUGCACUAGUGCCAAUUUGGCAAAGAUAUACAUGACAAGGAUCGUAUGUCUGCACGGAGUUCCAAGGAGCAUUGUAUCAGAUAGAGGAACCCAGUUUACCUCAAAGUUCUGGAAUCAGUUGCAUGAAACAUUGGGUACCAGGCUAGAGUUCAAUACAGCUUUCCAUCCGCAGACAGAUGGACAAACCGAAAGAGUCAAUCAGAUUUUGGAGGAUAUGCUGAGAGCUUGCGCGCUAGAUUAUGGAUCUAGUUGGGACGACAAUUUGCCGUAUGCGGAGUUCUCUUAUAACAACAAUUAUCAAUCUAGUUUGAAGAUGGCCCCUUUUGAAGCCUUGUACGGAAGGAGGUGCAGGACCCCAUUGUCGUGGGAUGAAGUUGGAGACCGCCAGUUGUUUGGACCGGAUCUGAUUAAGGAGUCUGAACAGAAAGUAAAAUUGAUUUGCGAUAGGCUCAAGGUAGCCCAAUCCAGGCAGAAGAGCUACGCAGAUUCUAAACGCAAGGAGACAGUUUACGAAGUCGGAGACCGAGUUUAUCUUCAAGUAUCUCCACUUCAAGGAGUUAAGCGUUUUGGAGUUAAGAGAAAGUUAGUGCCACGUUUUGUAGGACCAUACAAGGUUUUGGAGCGUAUGGGAGAAGUAACUUAUAAGUUGGAAUUGCCCGAAGGAUUGUCAGGAGUUCACGACGUGUUCCACGUUUCCCAGUUGAAGAAGUGCAACGCGGAGAUGGUUGAUAUACCGCUAAGAAACACAGUGCCGCUGGAAGCGAUUCAGUUGGACAGUUAUUUAACCUAUGAGGAGAAACCAGUCAAGAUUCUUGAGUAUGCUAGCCGAGUCACCCGCAGCAAGGUUAUCAAGUUUUGCAAGGUUCAGUGGAGCUACCACACGGAGGAUGAAGCCACCUGGGAACGAGAGGAAGAUCUGUUGAAGGACCACCCUCACCUAUUUUCUAGCCAACCUGAAUCUCGAGGGCGAGAUUCAUCUUAAGGGGGGUAGGUUUGUAACAUCCCAAAUUUUCAAUUUGGAAUGUUAUACACUAGAUCAUCAUUGCAUAUCAUAUUUCAUUUGCAUUUUGGUUGAUCCUAGAAAUUCUACGCAACUCAAGGACCCUCGGAGAGAGUUGGGGAUUUCGUUAUUUUCAUAUUUGAGCUUUCUCAAAUUUUGAAAAUAGGAUCAUUUGAUUUUAUUUAUUUUAUCUUCAAUUAUUUCUAUUAUCAAACUAUGAGAGAGGGAAUAAAACAACUUUACCAAAACAAAGAAAUAUUGAGGAUUUAAUAAUAAAACCAAAUAAGAUUUUAUUUUGGUUUUAUUAGCUAUUUUAUUUGAAUUUAGGAAAAAUGCGCAUUUUUCAAAACUGCAUUUAGGCCCCAAAUAAAUGUUCAUUCUGUGCGGCUUGAUUUUAGAAGCCGGGGAAAAUUUAUUUCGGGAUUUUUGGAAUCCGUUUAGUAUUCCUUUUGUUUUUUUUCUGAGCGUAAUUAUUAAAAAAGUCCGAACCGACCUUGGGCCGUGUCCGGCCAGGACUCCGCGUCGCCCGAGGGGGGGGGGCUUUAUAUAGCCGCGCCCCGCCCGCAAACCCUAGCCGCCGCCUUCGCCAGCCGCCGCCGCCACCGUCGGAGUUCGCCGCCGACGAGGUCGAGCCGCCCCGGUUUUUUUAGAAAACCGUUGGUUUUCACGGGUUUUUUUUCGGUUUUUUAUUCAUUUUUUAGAUAGAUCGGUUUUUUUCUCGGUUUAGUUAAUUAGCGAGCGUUUGCUCGCUCGUUCGUUUUAAUGAACGCGCUCAUCGUUUAGAUCCAGAUAACGAAGGUUCGUUCGUUAAUCUGUUCGGUGUUUUUCUUUUUCUCGGAUUAAAUCCGCGAUUUUUUUGAUCGCGAUUUCUGAUCCGAUUUUCGUUCUAGUAUAACUUUUCGCUCGUUUAUCUGAAUCAGGCGAUUCAAGCGCCUGGAGUUUCAUCUCGAAACCCUCUUUCCGUUUAAUAAACUCAAACAAGUUUUUGCCUUUAUAAAAUUUGACCUAGAUCCAGAAUAGUAAACGAAGCCUGUUUCUUUUGCCGUUUGUCUUCCGUUGCUUCGUUCGUUUUGAUUCUUUUUGCCAACCGGAGUUCUUAAGUUGAACUAUCUGGUUAGAUCUCUUAUUCGAGUUUUACCUGUGCAUUAGUUGAGUACUUAUUGUAUGCUUGUUUAUUCGCGAUAGAGUACCCGGAGUGCGCCGCUUGCUACUUCGAAUCGCUAGGUUUCACGGAUUAUCAGCAAGGCAAGUAACACUUUGAUCAUACCUCUUGCUACCCAGUUUUUAUUGCAUUAGAUCAACCCUCACACAUUUCAUGUUUAGGAUCUAAUUAAAUUGUGGGUUUGGGAAGUAGAUGAGGUAGUACCUAUCACCUAUUUUAUUAUCAAACCUUUGGGAGUUACUUCUACGAUUGCUUAUUAUGCCAUGCUAUGCUAGUAGACGUGGAUUGGGUGAGUGAAAUCCAUGACAGAUGUGAGUUUGUUAAAUUAAUGGUUUAUCUAAGGUGGCAACUUAAACACACAUCUGGGUGGAUUGAGGCACCUGGGUAUUCCAGCGAUUGCCUGUUUUUCUUUUGGACCGCCACCCAGGCUCAAAGGGAUCAUGAGAUUAUUCAUGCUAGAAACUUCCGUGUGCAGCCACAAGCUACUAUGGGCUCUAGCAUAGUUGAUUAAGUCGUGCGAACUCUUACAAUGGUAGACUAGCAGAUGUAGGGGGAAGUAGGUGUAACGGUCUAUCCGUUCGUAAGGUGUGAGCGCUUCUGAAAGACUAUGUCUUGGUCAUCCGUUUCUCAAACACCAUGUAGUGCGAGAAUCCCAAUAGAGGAGAUCAAGUCUUGUGGGGUAAAGUGCGCAAACCUCUGCAGAGUGUAUAAACUAAUCAUGGUUAGCCGUGUCCCCGGUUAUGGACAUCUUGAGUAUCUAGUACUUGGAUUAUCAUGUGAAUCUUAUCAUGUUACUAUAAUUAAUUUGUUGGGUUUUAUUAAUGAUGUUUAAUUGGGAUUGAGAGGGUGUCUACACUCUCAAUGUUUAACAACCACCAUGAUAGUCAAAUAAAAUUUAUUCCUUUGUAGUAGGGAAAAAUUGGCUUGACUCAAAACUGUAACCAUAGAGCUUUCCACCAGCCAAAUAUGCAUGUAGUAUAGCCUUAUUCUUUCAUUGCUCUCUAUGUGUUACAUUCCCAGCAUAUUCCAUGUGCUGACCCGUUUCGGGCUGCAAAGUUCAUGUUGCAGACUUUUCAAACGAUGAGUAAGGUGCUUUUAGGUCGUGGUUCUAUACUCAGUGAUGCCGUUGGAGUUGAUGGACUCACUUAUCUUCCAAGCCUUCCGCUGUUAUCGUUAUUAGAUGGCCUUAAGCCAUAUUUAUUGUAAUAAGUUCUCUUUUGAGACUCGAUGUAAUAAGUGUGUGAUUGCUACUCUGUUAUAAAUCCUUCAAGUACUGUGUGGUGUCUGCAUUACUGAUCCAGGGAUGACAUCGGAGCACAGAGAUUGGACCGUUUGAGGUCUGGUCGCUACAUUAUUUAUAUUGUUUUUAUGUAUAAUAAUUCUUUUUGGAGUAAUUCAAAUGCCUUUUCUCUCAUAAUAUGCAAGGUUCACACAAAGAGGGAGAAUACCGGCAGCUGGAAUUUUGGACCUGAAAAAGCUAGCCAUGCUACCUAUUCUGCACAACUCCAAAUGAGCUGAAACUUCACGGAGAUGUUUAUGGAAUAUAGAAGAAAUAUUGGAGCAAAUAAUUACCAGAGGGGCCCCACCAGGUGGGCGCAACCCACCUGGGCGCGCCAUGGAGCCCAGGCACGCCCUAGUGGGUUGGGCCCUCCUCGGCCCACCUCCGGUACCCCUCUUCUGGUAUAUAAGUCAUUUUGACCAAGAAAAAAAAUAAGUAGAGGACUUUCGGGAAGAAGCACCGCCGUCUCGAGGCGGAACUUGGGCAGGAGCACUUUUGACCCCCGGCGGAGUAAUUCUGCCAGGGCAACUUCCCUCCAGGAGGGGGAAAUCAUCGUCACCAUCAUCACCAACAACUCUCCCAUCUUGGGGAGGGCAAACUCCAUCAACAUCUUCAACAACACCAUCUCCUCUCAAACCCUAGUUCAUCUCUUGUGUUCAAUCUUUGUACCGGAACUAUAGAUUGGUGCUUGUGGGUGACUAGUAGUGUUGAUUACAUCUUGUAGUUGAUUACUAUAUGGUUUAUUCAGUGGAAGAUUAUAUGUUCAGAUCCAUUAUGCUAUUUAAUAUCCCUCUGAUCUUGAGCAUGAUUAUCAUUUGUGAGUAGUUACUUUUAUUCUUGAGGUCACGGGAGAAAUCUUGUUGCAAGUAAUCAUGUCAACUUGAUAUGUGUUUGAUAUUUUGAUGGUAUGUAUGUUGUGAUUCCCUUAGUGCUGUCAUGCGAACGUCGACUACAUGACACCUCACCAUAUUUGGGCCUAAGGGAACGCAUUGUGGAGUAGUUAUUAUAUGAUGGGUUGCGAGAGUGAUAGAAGCUUAAACCCUAGUUUAUGCACUAUUCCGUAGGGGACUGAUUUGGAUCCAAAAGUUUAAUGAUAUGGUUAGAAUUUAUUCUUAAUACUUUUCUCGUAGUUGCGGAUGCUUGCGAGGGGGUUAAUCAUAAGUAGGAGGUUUGUUCAAGUAAGAAUAGCACCUAAGCACCGGUCCACCCACAUAUCAAAUUAUCAAAGUAGCGAACACAAAACAAACCAACAUGAUGAAAGUGACUAGCUGAAAUUUCCGUGUACCCUCAAGAACGCUUUGCCUAUCAUAAGAAACCGUUUUGGCCUGUCCUUUGCCUCAAAAGGAUUGGGCUACCCUUUUGCACUUUUUUUACCGUUACCGUUACUUGCUCGUUACAAAUCAUCUUGCUAUCAAACUACUUGUUACUUAUAAUUUCAGUGCUUGCAGAAAAUACCUUGCUGAAAACUAC
rnacentral:lncRNA from 1 species